CACUACAACAAUAUUGAGCUAUGGAGACAAAAUAUUUAGCGACAAAGUAUAUAUUUGUCGUUAAAAGCAAUUAAAUAGCGACUAAAUUUAAUGUUCGUCGCAAAAAAAAAAGGAGAGAUUUUGUAAAAUGUCAUUAGCGACAAUUUACCUUUAUUGCUAAAACAUAGUCGCUAUUAGUUUAAUGAGGUCACUUUUUUCUUCCCUAAAUUAAUUUUAGCGACAGACAUUAAUUAAUAGCGGCGAAACCUAACGUCACUAUAAGGUUCAAUAAUUAGCGACCAAGUAUUUGGUUGCUGAAAGUCAAUUUUUAGCAACACAUUAAUACUUUGUCGCUAAAAUAUUAAAAAAUUAUUUUUAUUUUUGUUGUUAUAUAUUUAUGAAAUAAAAUUUAAAUUAUUUUAUUUGGUUAAAUUAAAUAUUUUGGUUAAAUUUAAUAUUUUGGUUAAAUUAAAUAUUUUACUUCAUUUAACUAUAAUAUUUUUUUUAUUAGUGCUUAAUUCUUAUAAUUUUAUUAAUUAAUUAAAAUUUAUGAAAUAUUGAUGAUUUGUUAUAAUUUUGAUCUUAUAUGGUUGUUUUGAAAUUUAACUUAAAUUAAUUCUUUUGCUAGUAGAUUUAAAAUUUUUAUAUAAAUUUUUAAUUAAGUUUAAUUAUAAAUUUUAAUAAAUUCAAUGAUUUUAUUUCCUUUCUUAUCUUUAAUUGGUUUAAUUUUAUUAAACAAAAAAUAUAAAUAUCAAAGAUUAUGAAUUAAUAAUUUUAUUAAAAAAUAAAAAAUAUUAAUUAAUGGUGGAAUCAUUAAUUAAUUAUGAAUUAAUAAUUUUUUUGGACUAGAUUAUAUAAUUCUAUAUAGUAAAAUAAAAAAAUUUAAAACUUAAAACUUAGAAAAGAACUAUUAUAGAAUAUAGUACAAGUUGAGGGGCCUAAACUAAAUUUUCCCAAACUUUCCAAUCCCGCCUCAAUAUCCCUCAAUAUCCCUCGACUCCAUAAACCGUACGGCACUUCCCACCUAUUGUUUGCUCCGGAAGUUUCAUCUAGGGUUUUUUUUUCACUUUUUUUAUUUUUUAUUUUUUACUUCUCUUCUCUCCAAGUAAAAAAAAAAAAAAAAAAUCUCAGUUGUUCUUUCCGUUCUUCCAUCCGCAGGACAAAAAGGAGGAUUUUCUUCAUUGUCUUCUAGCAAGAAGGAGCCCAACAACUAGGACCCCACCAAGAAAACGGUAAAUUGAUUUCGAUUCUCUUUAUAAAAGUAUUUAUUUCAUUCUUUACCUUAAAAUAGAUAGGUUGAUUUAUACUUUUUUGAAAAAAAAUACUCUUUUUUUUAUUUUAAAUUUACUAGUUAAUAAUAGAUUUAAGUAUUUCUAGGUUGUAUGAUUAUGUAAAAAAAGUAAAAAAUAUAUAAUAGUUAUUUUUUUUUCUAAAGACUAGAUAAAAAAUUAGAUGGAACCUACAUUCAUCUAUGUCUUUACAUAUAAAAGAGGAUAAAGAUGACCUCUUUCCAUCUACAAUUUUUUAUUCCUAAAUAUAAUUGAAAAAUAAUAUUUAUUUUAACAAAAUAAUNAAAAAUGGUGGGGGAGGUGAGAACAUGUAAACAUGUCUCCCCUCCCAGUGGGUACCGCAAGCUGAUGAAGGCGAGGAGUACUCACCGGAUCAGGAAGAGAUAUAUAACAAUAUGGUAAAUAGAUACAGAUGCUGAUACGAAGAAACUACAGUAGCUAUAACAGAUAAAUGAGCAAUAAAUAAAACUGCUACUGUAAGAAAUACAAAGCUGAGUAUGCCUCAAGGUAACCAAACCAAAACUGUACCAAAUCUGGUACCUGCUAUAUUGGUUCGCAGACCUCAAGCGCUGCCUGUCACUGAUCUGCACCGACCUGAUUCACCCGCCCCACAGGACGACCGAUCCGGAUAAGCACACCUCCGGUCGGUGGCCAAACCGACCUGGUGUCGUGAAUACCCCCAAGUGCUGUGACUAAGUCAUGCUGGUAUGCUCAAUAUAAAAACCGGCUGAAGCCGGUGCCUAGGCCGAAGAUAGAAACAAGGGCGUACCACGCCGAACCACGAUCAACCAGAUCAACAGAUAUGCAUAUAUAUAAAACUAAUCUACUCCUGCAAAGAAUACUAAGCAUGCAAACAACGAGUAGAGUAUACCGAAAUAAUCAUGGGUGCAAGGCUCAAAAUAUACUAUGCGAUAGUAACAACAGAAGAGUAAGGGUAAGAAACCAUCACCGAGCGUGCACCACUGUACCAACGUCGGAACGAAGUACCCACCUGUCACUAUCGCGUCGGAAAACCUGGAUGCACACAAGUCGACCAGACUUACGAAGAUCCACUAGGUCAGUAUCCAACCCACUAACCUGAAGUACACAAUCUCACAAACCUCCACAAAAGAUCUCUGUAAUCGGUUUCCCAAAACCAAUCACCGUAACUCACCGAAAGUCCCGAGAACCACACUGGGACGCCGUCGGGACCCUCCUGAAACUCACCGACUCGUACCACGAGUCACCCGCUACCACAAAACACACCAAUUUGAAGGUCUUGGCAGCAAACACAAUGUAACACAACCUAAUAAUUAUCGUCGGAUAAUUGUUCGGAUCCGGGUUCCCAGAAGUGUCUAUUACGACACCGGAACCCACCGUCGCUCACUCAUCAUCACCGAACCCACAAUGUGAUGAUGGUGACCAGCCAACAAGGCUCAGCGACAAUUUACAGGACAACCAAACCACGUCGGAAGAAAUCCGAACCGAAACCGCGUUCUUUCGGCGAAUUUCGCCAAAAAACGUACCGAAAUCGACUCUUCGAUUUCCGCAAAAGCUAACGAAUCAUGGACAAUCAGUCCAGAGGUCACCACACAUGCCUACACACUGCCUACAGUAGCCACAAGGUGUAUAAUUGCACAAAAGCCCCUGUAUUUACAUAAAAUCCCAAUAUUUUAUGUAAAUCGGGCGAUAACAUGGCUCGUUUAUGCAAACCGAGGACUUUCAAGGUCCACCAAGACACGUACCAACAGGUCUCGAUGUACCGGAGGCCGUGCUCAUGGUCCGGAGCACAUCGGCUCACUGUGGGUGGUGCGGGGGCAACCCGAAGUUCUGCGAACAGCGCGCAGUCGGGGAAAAACGCACCAAACAGGACUAACCGGACUCUGUUGAUCUAAAGUGAGGCGAGCACUGUGAUCGGAACUGACCGAAGAUCACCGUGCUCACCUCCAGAGGCAUCAGGACAGCCUCGGAUCGCCGGAGAAACGCGCGCAAACCAGAAACCGUAGUAAAAAAGGCUCUACAGUGUCGACAUUGCCGAACAGUGGAACGGGGCCUUCCCGACAGAAACCAAGGUGAGCACGAUAAUCAAAAAUUUUCCAUGAUCAUCGUGCUCCCUUCCGUAGAGAAAGGGGAGGCUCGGGAAGCUCACAACAGAAAACCACUCAACUAAGCCCUAAUUCGGGCUUGGCCAGAGCAAACUUGCUCCGGCCGGCUUCCGGUGGCACGGCGAGGCACGCGCGGGACAGGGAUGGGUAUAGGGGAGGUGAGGAGUACGAGGCUCACCUCAGUUGGCGGCGGGGAGCGGCGGCGACGUCGGCAGAGCAAGCUCAGCCCACACGAGCUAAAGCUCGGGUUCCACAGCAAUGGCGGCCACGGCGGCAACCGGGAAGCUCCGGGACAGCGGUGGUAGGUUUCAGGAGGCCGGAGGGGUGCCUCAGGUGCGGCCCCGAGCGGCGGCGACGCAGGGAAGGAGUCGCGAGCUCGGCUCGGACCGAGCUUGCCUAGGGAACCUGCCAGGCGGCUGCAGCGCGGCGGCGGCGCUCGGGACGGCUCGGGGCGGCGGCGAUCGGCUAGGAUGGUUGCCUAGGCUCCGGGGAAGGUGGCUGGAGUGGUCUCAGGUGGCGGCAGGGCGGGGGAGAAGUCGCAUGCUUGCCUCAGCCUGGGCUCGGCCUAGCUAGUUGCAGGGUGCAGUAGCGGCAGCGGUGGCGCACCGAGGCGACGACGGUCAGCGGGGAGGCUUGCCAGGGCACAGGGGCGGCGCUGGAAGGGUGCAGGGAGGCGACUGCAGCCUCAGAUCUGUCCACAACCCGAGAUGAAGAAAGAUGGAGGGAGGGGGAUGGAGAGGGAAGAGAAAAUGGUGGCUGCAGCGGCAGUUGGCCGGCCGGGGCUCAGUCGGAGGCGGCCAGGGGUGUGCGGCUAAGGCAGGGAAGAGGGAUGAAGGUGGCUGGGGGUUAGCUCAAGCUAGGGUUAGGGUUCCAAGGUAGAAAACCCUAGAAUACAUAUAUAUAUCAAGGUGCAACUUUGCGAGUUAGGCCCCCAAACCUCAGUAUUUUAUACUGAGUCCUUCUCAGCGAGUGUAAAACGCGCGAACACACCUUCACGUCCGGUUUCACGCGAAACGAUACAUAAAAUAUCACAACUUUUGCGAAAAUACCGUUUUGCCAUCACCGACCUCUCCUCGAUCAACGCGCAAUCUCCGCAGAUCCGUCCGUCAGAUUUGCGAACGGAUCACACCAGUGCGAUCAGCACGACGGAGACAACAAAGCUAUCAUUUUGUUUUGCCUCGAUCCAUCGCGGAUUCACGACGAAAUCCGAUCCAUCUCUCCAACAAAAGAACUACGCACAAAUACAUAUAAAACAUGUAUUUUCAGAUUUUCUCGAAAUCCGUGCGUCAAACUCAAAAUUUGUCAGCGCCAAUAGUCCCAGAAUAGCUGAAUCGCUCGAAACGAGCUAUUGGAUUGCUAUGAACGGAGUCCGAUACGCGCUAGAAGCCAACUUCCCACCGUGACUUCUCCGGAAAACCGAGUUACUAUUCACUUUAAGUGAAACUUACAAAUCGCGUAGAAUCUCCGAUUUAACUCGUUUUCUCCCGAAACUUGACGAGUACCUUUGUAAUUAAAUUACACACAAAAACAUCAUCAAUUGAGAGUUUAGCUACACUGCAAAAAUCUCAGUCCUUACAAAUAAUGAAUUCGAAAUUUAAUUAAUUUACAUUUCUAGUUGAGUUCAUUUUUUUAAAAAAAAGAACAAGCGAAUUACUUAUUAUCUUACUCUGAAAGUAUAAAUAUUUACUAUCAUUUGGUGAUAGCUUUUUUUUUGAUAAAUUAAAAAAUUUAAUGUUAUUUAUAUAGAAUUUGGAUAUGUUACAGGAUUGACAUGGAUACCGAAUCUUAUCAUUAACCAAACUAUGAUGAUCAAGGGCAAAUUUUAUGAAAGCAUCAACUCCAUCCAUGUAUUGUUUUGAGAAUCUAUUAUUGAGAUUAAUCCAAGUCUUAUCCAUGUCAAUCCUGUAACAUAUCCAAAUUCUAUAUAAAUAACAUUAAAUUUUUUAAUUUAUCAAAAAAAAAGCUAUCACCAAAUGAUAGUAAAAUAUUUAUAUUUUUCAGAGUAAGAUAAUAAGUAAUUCGCUUGUUCUUUUUUUUAAAAAAAUGAACUCAACUAGAAAUGUAAAUUAAUUAAAUUUCGAAUUCAUUAUUUGUAAGGACUGAGAUUUUUGCAGUGUAGCUAAACUCUCAAUUGAUGAUGUUUUUGUGUGUAAUUUAAUUACAAAGGUACUCGUCAAGUUUCGGGAGAAAACGAGUUAAAUCGGAGAUUCUACGCGAUUUGUAAGUUUCACUUAAAGUGAAUAGUAACUCGGUUUUCCGGAGAAGUCACGGUGGGAAGUUGGCUUCUAGCGCGUAUCGGACUCCGUUCAUAGCAAUCCAAUAGCUCGUUUCGANUGAUUGUGUUCUAUUUUGGAAGGAAUUCAAAGACCAAAAUGAAUGUCCAGAGUGUAAAGAGUCUCGAUGGAAAAUCAAUAGUGGAAAAGGUAAGCAAAUUCCUCAAAAAAUCUUACGCUACUUUCCUUUAAAACCAAGGCUACGAAAAUUGUAUAUGUCGAGGAAGACAGCUUUGGACAUGAGAUGGCACGAGGAAAAACGAGUCGAAGAGGAGAAUGUUAUAAGACACCCAGCUGACUCCGAAGUUUGGAAAGAUUUUAAUAAACAGUAUCCAUGGUUUGCACAGGAUCCUCGUAAUGUGAGACUUGGUAUUGCAACCGAUGGCUUCAAUCCUUUCAACAAUAUAAGUAACUCAUAUAGUAUGUGGCCUGUUAUACUUAUACCAUAUAACUUGCCACCUUGGAAAUGCAUGAAAGAGCCAUAUUUCAUGAUGUCGUUACUGAUUCCAGGACCACGGUCACCAGAAAAAGAAAUUGAUAUAUUUUUACAACCAUUAAUUGAUGAGUUGAAGGAGUUAUGGGAAAUUGGUAUAAACACUUAUGAUGCCGUAAGCAAACAAAGCUUUCGCAUGCAUGCGGCAGUUUUGUGGAGUAUAAAUGAUUUUCCAGCAUACGGCGAUAUAUCUGGAUGGAGUACAAAAGGAUAUCAAGCAUGUCCAGUUUGUAAUGAAGACACCUAUUCGCAACGAUUACGAGGUAAGAUUUGUUACAUGAGUCACCGUCGUUAUCUACCCUCUAAUCAUGCUUGGAGAAAAAGUUACAAAUUUAAUGGUAAACAAGAACAUCAAUCUAAGCCUAAGGAACGAUCAGGGGAAGAAAUCUUGUCACAAUAGGAAGCUUUGAAAAAUUUUAAGUUGGGAAAGCAUCCGAACAAUAAAAAAAGAAAGCGCUCUCCAGAAGAACGUAAUUGGACCAAAAUGAGUAUAUUUUUUGAGUUGCCAUACUGGCAAAAACUUAAAUUGCGUCAUAAUCUUGAUGUUAUGCACAUCGAAAAGAAUAUAAAUGAUAAUUUAUUGGGAACUUUACUAAACAUUGAUUGAAAAACAAAGGAUACAGAGAAAGCCCGUUUAGAUUUGCAAGAUUUAAAAAUACAGAAAGAGCUACACUUGCAGCAGAAAGGUGACAAGCAUGUGAAGCCUCCUGCAUGUUGUCAUUGAAGGAAAGGCAACAGUUUUGUGAAUUUUUGAAAAAUGUAAGAUUUUCUGAUGGCUAUGCAGCAAGUAUUUCAAGAUGUGCGAACACCAAGGAAGGUAAAAUAACGGGCCUAAAGAGUCAUGAUUGUCACAUUCUUUUGCAACGAUUGCUUCACAUCGGCAUGCGCGGUUUUCUAAAUAAAGAUAUAUUUAAUAUCUUAAGUGAGUUGGCAAAAUUUUUUCGAGAAUUGUGUUCAAAAACAUUGAAGUUAGAUGUCCUAGAGCAAUUAGAAAAAAAGAUUGUUAUAAUACUAUGUAAAUUGGAAAUGAUCUUUCCGCCAGCUUUUUUUGAUGUUAUGAUCCACUUGGCAAUUCACUUGCCACAUGAGGCUCGACUUGGAGGACCUGUGAGUGAUGCAGGUAUAAUUUAUAUAUAUUAAUAUAAUCUGAAAUUGCUAACCUCAUAUUCAUCCUUAUCUUAAAAGUUUUUAACUUCAUUAUUAAUUGAUAUUAUAUCAAUUAAUUGAUACUUUUUGAAGGAUCCACAACAACUAGAAAGGUUCGUGGUCAAAAUAGAGGAUUAGAGUUAGAAAGACUUAUUCGCAAAACUGGAAAGUUGAAACUACUAAUUCCAGAAGGAGAGAAUAGGCCAGUUGGUGAUGACAGUUGCAAAUUAUCUAGAGAAAUUGGGAUAGUUGUAAGACAAUUCGCACCAAUCAAGAUAUCAGGUUGGCACGAAAUAGCAGAUGUCGACAAAUUAGCACUUUAUGAGCGUAUUGUGGUAAACACCUUGUAAAUAUCUAUUAUAUUGUUUUAUCUUAUUUGAUCUUAUUUUGGAGAUUUAUAACUACUAAUUGAAGUUUUAUGCAGGCAAAAUUUGAUUUGGAGUGGGAUAAAAAAAAUGUUAGGGAAUGUGUGGAAGAAAUGAUGAGUUUUUGAUAUAAAGACUUCCGCUAUCGAUGCCAUUUAUAUUAUGAGAAAUUAGGAGGAGGUGAAGCUGCUAGACAAUGUCCUCAUAAGGAUUUUGUUAAUAGAUCCGAUGAUUGGCUUUGGUUAUGUGAUCAUUUUGAUUCAGAAGCCUUCCAGGUAAUACAAUUUUUUAUUUCUUUAAUUUCAUGGUGAACAAUAAGUAUAUUAUUAUUUCGAUUAUUAUGAGUAAUACAAAAAUUUAUUUGUAUCUCUAUCAAAAAUAUAGUUAUUAUACUUCUUAAUAUAUUAAUAUUAAAAAUCAUAUCUUAAUUCUUUUUUACAGAGGCGUUCAACGGCCAACUCCAGUAAUCGAGGAAAAUUACCAUAUAUUCAUCGAGCGGGUACUAGGACAUUUGUGGCUACUCGACAUAAAUUGGUAUAUUUUAAAAUUUUGAAUCUAGCAUAAUUUAUUUUUCAUGAAUUAUACUAAUGUGUUAUAUUGUAACGCAGCAAUGUGGUGAGAUUGCCUAAUUCAAGGGAUGUUAUCAUAAUGGAAAAGGAUGGGCCAAUGAUGGGGCUAAGAAAAGAUAUGUUAGUUUUUACCAAUUUUGAAUAUAUGUUAAUAAAUUGUUAUGUAAAAGAUAUAGUUAAUAUUUUUUUAAACAGCAUAUGUAUUAGAUUAACCAUUUAUAUUAUUUCCUCUAAUUAUAGGAAACUAUGGUGAAUAUGCAAUCACAACCCCCUUCUGACGAGAAUGAAGUUCCUACGACUGAGCAAGAAAUUUGUGCUCAAGUACUUGGCACUAGAUAUGGAUACAUACCUGGGCGAGGUCAUGGUCCAAAACCCAAGUCACGACGUGAAGUUUCGGAAAAUCAAUCAUCACAGCUGCAAGAAGAAUUGACAAAUACAAAGACUGUUCUCGAGACCCAACAAUCUCAAAUUGAGACCCAACAAUCUCAAAUUGAGACUCAACAAUCUCAAAUUGAAGCUCAACGUAAAGAGAUUGAAUGGUUAAAGACUAUGGUGCAACAGAAUCAUUCAGAUGCCCAUCAAGAAAUGAAGAUUAUGGACCAUCUAUACGUGGUAAAUAAAAUUUUGCCACAAAAUUUUAUAUAUUUAUAAAAAUAAUUAUACAUAUUAACCAUCUUCAAAUAAAAAAUUUUUGUAAAUGAAAAUAACUAGUUUUUUUGCUUAAAAAAAAUAACAAAAUCAAUAAUAUUAAUUUAUUUAUCUAUUUUUUUAUCAUUUUAGUCUUUGUGAAAUUCUGUAAUAGAUUACUUAUAUAAAUAAUAAUUAAUAGGUAAACUUUAUUAUUCAUCAUUUUAUAAUUUUUUUUACUUUUGUGCAGAAAUAUGCGAGUGGACUACAUCAAAGCAAGCCAACUACAAAAUUUCUUAAAAUGGAAUGUUGGUGUUUUUGUUGAAAAAACUAGUAUUUAACCCGUGCUAUGCACGGAUAAUAUAAUAAUAUAAAAUAACAUAAGUUAUUAUGUGAUAAUAAAAAAAUUAUUCUAAUUAAUAUUAUAUUUUUUUUAAAUAAUAAAGAAAUAUACUAUUGAUCUUAUUAUAGUACAUAUUUAAAUACAAAAGCUAGAAGAAAAAAAAUUAUAGACCAAAAUAAAUACUCAAAUAAAAGUAAAUUUUAACCCUGUUCUAUAAUCUAUGAUUAAUCUGCAAAAUAAUUUUAUAAUUAUAAAUUGAUGUGCAAAACAAAAUGAUAACUAAAUUGAUAUUCAAAAUUACAAAUGACAUUAGUAUUUAAGCAUAUAAUGAAAUCAACUAAACUUUCAUAUUUGACACAAAUUAGAGUAAGCACACGUAUAUGAGAGACAAACAAAUUUUCAAGAUUCAAAAAUAUAUAGAUGUUGGUUUCUAGAAAAUAUAAGAAAAAAAACUUGUUGCCCAUGAAGAUAAAAAGUACCUGCUCCAAUAACAAAUAGAUAAAUUGUUAGAUAAGUAAAAUGACUAAAUAUCAUAAUAUUAGUGUAUUUUUUCAGAAAAAUAUCUAAACUUAUUUAAAAAAUAAAAUGACAGAAUUGAAUUGUUGAAAAAUUGUAAAUUUUGAAAUAACAUGAAGAAAAAUAAACCGCUCACCUAUUUUAAAUUUUGAAACACUUCCUUAAAAACCACAUUACUUGUGGUUUUGGAUAACAAACCAUCUUUAUCACAAAUUAGAAUAUUCAAUCCGUCCUUGUUUCGAACUCUAGAUAUUGCAACAUAUAACUGACCAUAACUGAAUAUCGGUCUAGGAAGAUAUAAGCCAACAUGUGAUAACGAUUGACCUUGACUCUUGUUUAUUGUCAUAGCAAAACAAACAGCCAACGAAAAUUGCCUUCGUUGCAUUUUAAAAGGUAACUUGGAGUCUGAUGGAGUAAUCACCAUACGGGGUAUAAACACCUUCUCCCCAAUAUUGCUCCCAGAGAUCACUUUUGCUUCUAGUAUAUGUUUUCCCAAUUGAGUGAUCAUUAAUCUGGUUCCAUUGCAUAAACCUAAAGACUUGUCUAUGUUUCUCAAUAACAUCACAGGAGCAGCUUGCUUCAAUUUGAUCAUGUGAUUAGGAACUCCUGAACAUUUAAUACUGUUUAAGAAAUCAGGUGUAUAUACAUCUUCAGGACCAUCUAGGCCCACAUCUGUCUUACAAACACUGUCAGAGCUCAAAUAAAUUUUUUCUUCACCAUGAAGCAAUGAAAGCAUGUAUUCAUUCACAGCAUCCACAAUUUCAAGAGUAGGAGCAAGAAUUGCUUUUUCUUGUAGGUAUUGCAAAUCAUGAAUAUUGCUUAACAAUGAAGGAUACGUACAAUCCACUAUUGAUGCAAUUGGAUUUGUUGAUUCCUUUAUGAGAAAUUCAGAAACUCAAAUUUUGUAUUGCGAAAUUUGCGAAAUUUGAGUUUAACCAAAAAUUUUAACUAACAAUACGAAAUUUGAGUUUACGAAAUUUGAGUUUGAUCAUUAUCUAGUUUCAAAACAACCAACCAUUUCAAAUAAUUCGCAAUAGAUUUUUCACAACCAAUAAAUUUAAAUAAUUAAUUAUCCGCAAAUACGAAAUUUGAGUUUGACCUUUUUUUCGCAACCAACCAUUUCAAAUAAUUCACAAUAGAUUUUUCGCAACCAAUAAAUUUAAAUAAUUAAUUAUCUGCCAAUACGAAAUUUGAACUAAUAAUUUUAAAUAAUAAUUCGCAAUAGAAUUUUAAAUAAUAAUUCGCAACAGAUUAUUGCGUGCCAAUACGAAAUUUACGAAAUUUGAGUUUGAUCGUUAUCUGCCAAUACGAAAUUUAGAUUUUAAAUAAUAAUUCGCAAUUAAUUAAGUAAUAAUUUAAAUAUCCAUAUUUGAGAUUGACAUAUUUUAAAUAAUAAUUCGCAAUUAAUUAAGUAAUAAUUUAAAUAUCCAUAUUUGAGAUUGACACGUGACAAGCAUAUAGAAAGCCACGUGUCAGCUUAAUUUUAAUUGACAAUACGAAAUUUAUACAAAAUUUAGAUUUUAAAUAAUAAUUCGCAAUUAAUUAAGUAAUAAUUUAAAUAUCCAUAUUUGAGAUUGACACGUGGCAAGCAUAUANAAUUUGAAGUUUAUACUAUUUUUUUUCAUCUUUUUUGCGCAUUGGUGGGGAAAACAAAAAAAAAAAUCCUCGAGCUGCUCAAUCAUCAUAUGAAGAGUGGUCGAAUGUCUUUAUGUUUAGUAGCUUUAUUCUUGUAAUCAAGAGGUCUAUUUUAUUUCAAAAAUUCAUUAAUGAUUGGAAACUUUUUAUCUAAAAAAAGGUGAUGUAACAAGUAUUUAUUAUAAUAAAAAAUUGAUACAUGUACAUUCUAAGGUAGCUAGCGUACGUUUUACACCCUUAUUCUAAAGUUUAGAAAAUUUGUUAAACUUCUAAUUUUUUUUUUAAAAAAAAAUGCUUGGUAAGAAUAUUAGGGCUAAUUCUUGACUUUGAACAAAAGGAUGUAAGAUGUACACUUUCUUGUGAAAUGUACAUCUUGGCCUCCAACCGUUAAUCCGUUUGUUUUUGUUGAUUUUGAAAGUUGAACUUGUGGCUUCAAUUAAAGAAGUCGUCAGAGUCGACAUUUGUUUCAAUAAUGAAGUCACGAGAAUCAUCCAAAUUUCUACUCACAAUUGUAUAUAUAUGAUCGGACUUUUGAUCUCGUUGGGUUGGAUGCAUGGCGAAGUCAAGUUUGCAAACUUGCAUGUUUCUCGCUCUCUAUUUUUUUGGUUCCCAACAGAGAGCCUGGGUGAUAAUUAUGUACAGGAAAUUAACUACUUAGUCUAGUAGCCUAGCUACGUGAUAUAUAUGUACUAAGAGGAAACUACGUAGUUUAGUAUGCAAAAUUUGAGAGGAGCUCAUGCAAGAAAAUAAAAUAAACCGUAUGCGGCGAGUUUUCUAUAUAUUGAGGCAACAAGUGUCGCCGCAAAAUUGUGAGAAAUAUUUGGGCUGCUAGGAAAUCUCAUUUUGCGGUGACCAUACAUGCAUGUUGUCGCAGAUACGUACAACUUUCUUCCGUAUGGUCGAGACUAUUUGGUGGCAACGGCGGCCCGCGCGCACCGGUGGACGUUGCAGGGGCAGCCUGCAAUGUACGUUGCUCUUCGGGCAACCGCAAAUAUAUACUUAGUGCCAACAGUACGUCUUGUUUUGGACAACGCAGUUUGCUUAGAGAGUAGGACAUUUUGUCGUUCUUUGGAGCUAUUAGUUAAUAGCUAAUACUAAAGUACAUCUUUUCUUGUCCUAAAUAGAUUGCAAUUAAUCUGUGAUGUGGAAAAAUAGCAUUAAUUAAUUGCACCAUUGGUUCCAGAUCUUGUGUACAGCUUCUAAACUUCUAGAAACAUAAAGUAGUUGGUAUUUUUGAUUUUUUAGCACUUGAAUUAAGAACUAUAGAGUUGGGAUGAUAAUGAUCUCCCUUGGAGUUUAGUGGUCUCUCUAGAGUUUAGUGGUCCCUCUAAAGAAAUAAUAUUAAUCUAAAAAUUAGAAAUUGUCAAAAAUUUGAUCCAAGAGUUAAAAAAUUACAAACACCACAUAAAUUUCUAGAAGAAUAAGAGUAUUUUGAUUAGUUUAUUAAGGCUGCGUUUGUUUCGGGUAGAAAUAAGAACUGCUUAUUUUUGGGAUAGAUACAUGUUCAAGUAUAAGAGCAUGAAUUAGAGUAAAUUUUUGUUUGGAUAAAAAUUGGAUUGUUUCUGAAAAUAAGAUAAAUAGUAUUUAGAUGGUUAAAUUGGAAUAUCAGGAAUAAGAGUAAUUAUAAUUUUAAAUUAAAAAUAUUUUAUCUAAUUAAUUAACGUCAAAAUAUUAACAAAAAAUAAUUUUAAUAAAAUAAUAAUUUUAUUAGCUAUGACUAUUGUAUAAGAUAAUAAAAAAUAUAUUAAUAUAUUAAUUAAUUAAUUAAUAAAAUAUAACUUAACUUUUUAAUUAUUAGUAAAUUAUUUGAUUAGUUUAAAAAAUUUAAUUUAAUUUGUCAAAAUAUUAAUUAGUUGACCGAUAUAGAUAUUAGUUAUUAGAUAAACACAUUAAAUACUUAAUUUUUGAUAAGUUGAUGAAUCAUAAACAUUAAAUUAAUUAAUUACUUAACUAUUUAAGUAAUAGAUAAUGACUUAAAUAUAUUACUUAGAUUAAUUAACAAGUUAAUAGAAUGGUCAAAAUUAAAUUUAAGCUUUAAUUAAGCUUAUUCUCACGUGGGAACAAGGUUGUUCUAGUGAGGAGGGUGGAACUUAAUUAUUUCUCCUUAUUCCUCUUUGUUCCUAAUAAAUGGGAACUACAGUUCCCAUUCUCCAAAAAUAUCAUGUGGAGAUAAGAGAGGAAAUAAGGGCCUAUUUCCCUGCUUAUACCCCAAUCAAACACAAUCUAAAUAUUUGGAUUAAAUUUGUAAAAUUCAGAAAAACAACUCGUUUUUGCGAAAGGGGAGAACUAGAGGUGUCAACGAGUCGAACACGAGCGAGCUAGGGCCGGCACAUGUUCGGCUCGUUUAAUAAAUAAGCGGAACACGAGUUGACUCGUUAAAGUAUCGGACCAAAAAAUUCAACUCGUGUUUGGCUUGUUAAUAAAUGAGUUGAGCAUGAGCUGGCUCACGAACUGGCUAAUGAACAAUAAGUUAAAUAGAUUAGAUUUGAUAUAUAUACAAAACAUAAAUUUAUAAAAUCUUACCCAUUAAACUUUGGUAUUAUGGUUGAAACUUUACAUAUAAAUGAGUAUUUUUAUAAUUAAUCUCGAUUUUAUAUACUUUUUUCGGCUAAAAAUAUAAUAAUAAAAAUAUAUAUUAUAUAUAUAUAAGUAUAUAGUUAUAUAUAUAAAUAUAUAUAUAAAUAUAAAAUAGAUGUAUUUGAGUUGUUAUCGACCGGAUAUGAGCGGGCUGACCCUAGCUCAUAUUUGGCUGUUCGUGUUCGACGUAAACGAGCGAUUCGAUUUCGAGCUUCUUUCAACCAGAACACGAGCUGGGGCUCACAGUCUAGAAAGAACUGAUUGAUUUUUUUUUUAUUACAAAAGCCUAAUUUUUUUAAAAAAAAAAAUCUAAAAAGAGUUGAGGAGGCAAAAUAAAUAAUUGAUUUUGUUGAGAAGAUAAGAAAAAGAGUUGACGAUGCGAGAUAACGAUUGGUGGGGGAGUUUAAAUUGGUCGCCACGAAUCCACGUGUCGUUGUCCUUUUAUUGUCAUUUAUUAAAGUCCCCACAAUGUUCGCCACGCGGACAGGAACAAACUCGAACCACGUGAACAGGAAUUGUUCAGCGACUACCACGUCAGGACACGUGUUGAAACUCCGCUGGAAGCAAAAGUGAUAAGAACAAAAUGAUCCGUAUGUAUCAAUCACGUUGUGAUACUGUUUUAUUUUACUUUAUUUUAUUUUUUGACAAUGCAUCUGACUGAAGCUCUAAACUCUUUUUAUGGUUUUUUUUUUUUUAACUCAUUUUGUUUAUUUUUUUUUAAAAUUUUUUAGUUGAAUUAAUAAAAUAACUAGAUUUUAAACUUAAAAUCUCCCGCAUCAAACAUAAAAAGCUCUUUAUAUAGUUUUUUUAAAGGGAAAGAUACUACGGUGCUCAUUUCAUUUAUUUUUAAAAAAAAUUUAGUUGAAAAAUAUAAAAUAAUUAUAUUUUAAACUUAAAAUCUUAAGUGUCAACUAUUGAAUUUUUUAUCAUCUGUGUUAAGUUGAUUAAAUUGUCUAUAGUUACCUUUUGGCUCUAGAGGAGGUUUGGGUACUUUCAGAAGCAAAAAAAUUUAUGUUUUUAGAAAUUUUUUUUUAAUAGAUAUAUUUCUUUUCCAUAAUUUAUAUUUUUUACAUGAAAAAUUUAGAACAUAAAAAUAUUUUUUUUUAUAAAAUUUGAUUUUACUUUAGUAAAACUAUUUUUCCUCUAAACUAAAUAAAUACAAAAUAAUUUUUUUAGUCAAAAAAUUAUUUUCUGAUAUAUUUUUCUAAAAAUUAAACACUCCCAUAAAUUGAUCCAGGACGAUCAAACAUUUCAGAUAAAUUUCAACCGUUGCAGAUAAGACGGAGGCCGUUCCAACUAUUUCAGUUAGGAUAAGAAUCGAGAUGAUUCCAACUACUUCGGUUGCAGAUAAGGCGGAGGCCGCUCCAACUAUUUCGAUUAGGACAAGGACUAUUUCGAUUAGGAUAAGGAUUGAGAUAAUUCCAACUAUUUUGGUUAGGAUAAAGAUAAAGUUGUUAUUUUUAAAAUAUUUUGUUUUUAUCUAUUUGUAAUAGGAGCCUUACUGGUUCUUGUAAAAUCACUCCAGUGUAGAGAGAAUUAAUAUAUAGACUCUUCAACAUAAAAAUAUUGUGUUCUUUUUUUUUUUUAAUAUGUUUUCAGAUAUCCAUCGGAAAGGCGCUGCGAUAUUGCUUACUCCUCCGACGGAUCAGGUGGUAUCAAAGCAUUUGACCCUGGUGCAUGGUGCGAACCAGAAGCGUCUACAAAGCUACUAGCGAACAACUCUUCGUCCUCGACAUCUUCCGUAAGCCACUGACGAGGAAAACGAAGAGUACACCUACCAUGUCUACGGACGAGCAGAUAAUGACGCCAUCCGACCUUGCCGCCAAGAUCACCGCGCUGUCUAACGACAUGAAGACCGUCUUAGAUUGGAUUAAGGCCCAAUCUGCAGCACAAUCGGCAAUGCCGGUGGAGAAGAGCGGUCGGCUCGUAGAAACUCCUCGAAAGGCGCGUGUGACGUCGGUGAAAGGCGCUGUCGAGGAUACCUCAGGUGUGCGAGAUGACGAUAACUCCGAUGAUGACGGAAGUAUAGCGCCGUCGGUUGCAGAAAUGAGGUUGAAACCGUUUAAGGUUGAGGCCAAGAUCGAGAUCCCCAACUACGACGGUAUUGUCGACGCUGAAAAGUUGGUUGCCUGGCUUGACCAACUGGAGAUGUACUUUGACCUCUGCAACUAUAGUAACGCGGAAAAGGUAAUUUUCGCAAAACUAAAACUUGUAGGUCAUGCAUUGACUUGGUAGAAGGCCACUCUCCAAAUAUCCGCCAAUGAGGAUUUCACCUGGAGUCAGUUUAAACGACUGAUUCGUCAGGAAUUCUGCCCUACAGGAUAUGAAGAAGAGCGAUGGAAGUGCUGGCAUGUCUUGCGCUAAAGGCAUGACCAGACAGUGCAGGACUAUACCACCGACUUUCGGCGCCAAGCCUUGGCGCUUGGCAUCUCCCUCGAUGAUCCACAGGUUUUUAGUAAAUACACCGCAGGUCUACAGGAGCGCAUCAAUGAUGAGCUUCGUUUCUUCGGUAUUCGUGAUAUCGCCUCGGCGAGUCAAACAGUUAUGGCGAUUGAGCGGAAGAACAAACUGUCUCGUGGGGAGAAACCAUCUAGAGAGUCUGCUAAAGGCUCGAACAAGUUCAAAAAGAAUGGCUCUAAAAAUAUGGGGUCAUCUGAUCCUGAUUUGUACUAUGAUUAUUGUAAUGUCACAAGACAUGUCAAGGAUCGAUGCUGGAAGCUCCAUCCAGAGUUGAAAUCAAAGAAUAAGGAUGAUCGUGGAAAACGCACAAAUAGUAACGGCAACGACAACGGCAACGGCAAUGGCAACGACAAUGGCAGGAUUGACAAGUGAUGCUCCUACCUUAAACCGACGGAUUGAUCAAGCAGAUACUAGCUUAUCUUUGAUGGCUAUGCCGAAGGAGACAAGCCUGUGCCCGUCAAAUCCGACUGAUAAGAGAGAGGAGUUGUUCACUUUUCGAGUUCAAGUCAAAAAUGAGGUGAUCGAUGCCAUCAUCGAUCCCGACAGCUAAAAGAACUUGAUUUCGGAGAACCUAGUUCAAAGACUGGGUUUGUCGACUACACCACACCCACACCCAUAUCCAUUAGGGUGGAUUAACAGCAACAUUGAGAUGAAGAUCGAUCGCUAGUGUAAGGUGAAGUUUGUAGUGACCGGUGUCUACAUCGACGAAAUGUUAUAAGAGUUUGUGCCGUUGAAUAUUUGCAACCUCAUCUUCGGCAGUCCCUACCAAUAGGACCGUGACGCUACUUUUUUUCGUCAUCCUCAGUAAUACUAAUUUAUUAAGGAUGGACAAAAAUUUUUGCUCACCACAAAGUCAUUGUCAACAACUGUCGACCUGGUAACCACUUGUCAGGCCAAGAGGAUAAUCAAUGCUUGUCAAAAGUUUGCCUUACUAGUCAUUCGGCCAGUUAUCUCUAAGGAGGCAAACAACAAGAUAUUAAACUUAGCAUGAAAGGAAAAAACUGAUGAUGUAGCCAAACUGAUCGGCGAGCAUCAUGAUCUGUUUCAAGAAGUACAGGGACUGCCACCAAAGUGAGCCGUAGAACAUGAGAUCCAAUUCAUCAGUGACGCUUCGUUAUCGAAUCUUGGCAUGUACCGAAACUCGGUGGUGGAGAAUGAGGAGAUAAAGCGACAGGUGACUGAGUUACUCGAGAGUGGUGCUAUCAAACCGAGUAGCUCCCCCUGUGGCUCCCUGAUCGUGUUGGUGCCAAAGAAAGACGGCGGGUGGCGAAUGUGUAUCGACCGCCGCGCCCUCAACAAAAUCACCAUCAAGAACCGGUACUCCUUAUCGUGGAUCGAUGAUCUUUUGAACUAACUGAAGCAUGCUCGCUACUUCACCAAACUGGACCUAAAGUCUGGCUAUCUUCAGGUCCGGAUCCGAGAGGAUGAAGCCUGGAAAAUCGUGUUCAAGACUUGACAAGGCUUGUUUGAAUGGCUCGUUAUGCUAUUCGGCCUUUGCAAUGCAUCAGCUACUUUUAUGCGAUUGAUGAACGACGUUCUAUGCCCAUUCCUUGAUGAUUUCGUGAUCGUCUAUCUUGACGACAUCCUCAUCUACAGUCGAUCGUGGGUGGAGCAUCUGGAGCAUGUCAAGACAGUUGUAUAUAUGCUACAAGGAUAUAAUGCUCGACAUCCCAAGACUUGGGAUGAGAGUCUUUUAUAUUUGCGGUUCGCGUUCAAUCGAGCUAUACAUAGUUCUACUGGCAAGACUCCCUUUGAGGUGUGUAUGGGUUACUUAGCAAGCCCAUUCGACUUAGCACGGUUAAGCAAUCGCAAACCACCAAGGAGGAAAAUGGAAUAGCAAAGGCACAUCGCUUCUUGGAGAGCAUUAAGAAAGUGCAUAGCGAGGUGGAGUGACAACUUCAAAAAUCUCACCAGAAGUAUAAAGAACGACAUGAUCGACAUUGAGUGAAAGACGACUUCCAAGAAGGUGAUUUCAUCUGGCUCCAUCUCAAUAAAGGGCGCUUGACAAAGUGAGGAUAAGAAACUUAAACCCAUUCGUUAUGGACCUUUCAAGAUCCAAUGCAGAAUUGGUGAGAAUGCUUAUCAAUUGGAGUUGCCCGCAUACAUGAAGAUGUAUUCGGUUGUCAAUGUUGAAAAUCUAAAGUCUUUCUAACCGUCAAUGCUGGACGAUGGGUCCGAAAAAAUAUUGCUAACCGUGGAAGAGCUUGUGGUAGAACGCGAAGAGCCGCUAGCCUAGGAUACUAUUCUGUAACGUAAAAUCACAAAGACAUGCAAAGAUGAACGUGAAUCCUUCUAUGUCGGAUGGAAAAGUCAAAAGCCAAGUGCCGCUAAGUGGUUCACAAGGAAAACUUGGAACUCAGUUUCCUCACUUGCAAAUCUAGAUCCAGCAGGUGCUGGUUCUUCUCAAAAAAUUGGGAAGUUAUAAUAUGAGACGAUCAAACAUUUCUGAUAAGUUUCAACCAUUACGGAUAAAGCUGAGGCCAUUCCAACUGCUUCAGUUUGGGAAAGAAUCGAGAUGAUUCCAACUAUUUCGGCUGCAGAUAAGGUGGAGGCUGUUCCAACUAUUUCAGUUAGGAUAAGAAUCGAGAUGGUUCCAACUACUUCGAUUAGGAUAAAGAUAAAGUUGUUAUUUUCAAAAUAUUUUAUUCUUAUUUUCUUGUAAGCCUGAAGGCUAUAAAUAGGCGCUUUUAUUAAUAAAAUGGUCAUUACUAGAUAGUGUACAUUCAUGAAAAUGAUAUAGCCUGCUUACUCAUGUAAAGUAGGUCAUUUACCUGUUGCAUACCGUUAGUUGUGUUGGAGGCAUAGUAAUUUUAAUAUUCACUAGUUGCUUACUGUAUAUUGACUAAUAGUUCUCACGCCCUAUUUGUUGUUGUUUUAUUUACAGAGCCAUCCACAGCGGGAGAGGCUAGGGAUCGGGAUAAGGGGGUCGCGUCUAGCUAGGCAUAGCUCGGAGUCCUGCUAGGUGGUUACUCACCUUUUUGCUAGUUGAAGAGUGUUGUACCUAUGGUAUAGAGACUACCCCAUGUACUUUGUAAUUUUUUUUAGACCGUGGGAUGUGUAUAUUACAUGGGAGUUGUUCAUGUUAGUAGUUUACUUUCUUUUCUACACGCUUUUAGAGUAUUGUAUGUAUCUUAUGCUAUGAUAUCGUGUUAGAUGUUUCAUUCCCUGGUACUUUUUCUAACAUGGUUACUAUAGACGUCUUGUAUACUUCAGGUAUAUGGCGGGUCUGUGCACGUACCGGGUAGGUUUCUGCUGAAGUCCGGACAUGACAAUUAUUUUUAAAUAUUAUAGAAAAAUCUAUUUUUUAUAUGAUAGUGUAAAUUAUUAUUUAUAUUAUUUUUAUCUAUUUAAAAGCAUAAUUUUAAAUAUAUAUAUAUAUUUGCAAAAUAAUUUAGAAUUAUCGGCAUUUAUUAGUGUCGGAGAUGAUUAAAAAUUACAAACAUUUAAAUAAUGUCGGUAAUAGCCAUGUCUAUAACGGCAUUUGUUUAAUGUUACUAAUUACUUAUCAUUAACGGCAAUCUAUUUAAAUACCCGUAUAAGAUUUACCAACACGAGUAUAAGCGGCAUUAAAAUCUUAAUGCCAUUAAUAGUUUUUGGAGUAAUUUUUGGACUCUAGGCGGUAAUAAUUCAAUGCUGCUAAAUCAUAAUUUUUUUAUAGUAAUAUAUUGAGAAGUUUGAAAGUUUGUUCACUAGUUCGGAAAAAAAAUCUGCAUUAUGUCAAGAAUGAAAUAUAGAAAUAGAUCAAAAUACAAAUAUUAUUAAUUGAACAGUAAUUUUGAGAAACAACCGUAAAGUAUAUUUGUUCCUAUAACCUAAAUACUAGAAAACAUAAACUAUAACGUAAUAAUGCACACAAAAACUAAAAAACAUAAACAUUAUAAAACAUUCUACCUUUUCUUUACCUCUAAACCUCUUUUACGCUUUUGGGUCAUGAUGGUAGGUUUUGAUCAAAAUUCGCAAAUUUAUUGAGGUCAAUAUCGCGCAUAACAUUGCUUUAAUUCCGACCAUGAUCGGUCGCAGCAUUGCUUUUCUUUCGAUGGUCAUCAAACACAUCAUUGCUUUCUUUCUGACUGUGAUUUGAUAAGCUUUACUUCUGACCGCAAUCGGAUGCAAUAUUGCUUUCCUUCUUACUGUGAUCGAAUGUAUCAUUGCUUUCCUUUUGGCUGCGUUUUGGUACUAGAAUUUUGACAUAUAGUGGCAUUAUUUAUAGCAAUAUUUAUUUAAAUAUUGCUAAAUACAAAAUAUAUUGGUAUUUAUAAAGAUUGUUGCUAAAUAUGUUAUAUAUAGGCAUUUAUAAUUUAUUAUUAGUAAAUAAAAAUAUUUAGCAAUAUUUAUUUUUAAAUGCUAGUAAAAGAUAAAUUAAACAUUGACAGUUAUUUUUAGAGCCGCUAAGAGGAUUUAAUUGUCAGCAUUUAAAAUUAAAUAUUGGUAAAAUGUCUUAAAUCCUAUCUAUCUCAAAAUAACGUGGAUUCCUAAAUAUUUUUCCUUCCCACCUCAUUCUUCCGCCUCACCCCUUUAGGUUUUAGUCCGAUCAUUUUCUCCUCAUUCUUUUUGGGUUUAGUCCCAAAUAUCUUCCUCCUCCUCCUUUUAGGGUUUAGUCCCGAUCAUCUUUCUCCCCUACUUUUUAGGGUUUAGUCGCAAUCAUAUUCAUCCUAAAUCAUGGUGUAAUCAGGUAUGCUUUCUUUGAUCCUUUUUAUAGGUAUCUCUAAUCCAAGAAAUACUUAAUAGUAUUAUUUCUCUAUUUUUAUGAAUUUUAUUUUUUUAAAAUAAAUUUUAAUGAAGUUUUAUAGUAUAAUAGCAUUAGAACACUAUAAGAUAAAGGAUUUUGACGCACCAAUGUAGACGAUAUGGUGGCGACAAAUAAAUGUUGCCGCCAUCGCCAAUAUAUAAACAAUGGUGGUGACAACUAUACGUCGCCACCAAUAUUUAAUAAAUAGCGGCAUUAUUUUGUUGCAGGAAAAAGUCGAAGCAGUUGUGGCGACUAUUCUCGCCGUGGAAUAUUUCCAUACGUCCCACCAUUACUUCCCUCUUUUUUUUUCACCAACCAGCGCCUUCUUUUUUUUAUUUUUGGACCAUUAUGCCCUUAUUUAUUCUAUAUGUUGUGUGUGUAAAUGGUUGUACUAUUUUGUCUUUUGACAAAUUAAAAAUAGGUAAAUAAUAUGUACAGGGAAAAAUCCCUAAACCCCAAAUCCCUAACUUCCUGUUGAGCCACUUUUGCUCCCCCACCUUUUUUCGGCAACCUUGAAUCUGUCAUGCUCUCUUGCCUGCGAGUCCUCUUCUUCUCUUCCUCUUACUCUCCCUCCAGACGCUGGGGCUGCAGAAGCACCACUGCCGCCGCUUUGCCUCCCAAUCCCACUUCCAAUCUUUACUUUGGCUCCAGCACAUUGCUCCGUCCUCAGAGCAGUUCCUUCGCCACCACACAAAGGCAUGAUUCUUCCAUUUUAGCUGCUACUCCUGCAGUUAAAUUUGAAGAUUCUAACCCAUAAAGCUAACCUAUCUAGAGGUUCUUUCACCACCCGCCUCUUCUUCUUCUUUUUUUCUUCUUCUUCUUCCCUGUGCAUUAGCAGUUUUUUAGAAAACAAAUAAGAUAAGAAGCUGUAGGUUGAAAGGGUUUUCCUUUUUUUUUUACUUUCUUUUUUAUGCUAAAAUUUAGGAUUUAGUUACUUAUAGUUGUUGGGAUAUUUUGAUCCUUGAGCAUUAAUUCAUUAUAUUUUACUGUCAUUUAGAAGAAUUACUUACUACUACAUAAUAAUAGAAGAGUAGAAAGUGAAGGCGAAGCUCCGAGCAGACAAGACGAUGGAGAGUGAUGAUGCGGGGGUGGCGGGAGUGGAGGUUCACAAGAAGCCUGGUAUGGCGACGUUCGCACUAGCACUAGCAUAACCCAUCAUCUUUGACUUCACAAAUCCCUCUCCCCCAACCAAAAAAAAAGAAAAAAACCAAGCAUUUAAGUUUUAUUUCAUGAGCAAUUGAAAUUAAAUUCCUAUUAUUAUUAUUAUUAUUAUUUAUUUGUUUCAAAUUUGGCAUUAAUUUGUGGGUGUUGCGGCUAAUAUCUGGAGAGUUCAUCCUAGAGAGGGCCCUUGAGCUCUAGGUCAAUGUGGAGGCGUUCGUAGCAGAGGCAGUGCGCUUCUAUGUCUCUCGGCUUCGCUGACCGUUAUACGAAAAAUCGGUCUUCACUUGAUUUUUGGACUUGGCCUUCUCUUUAAAUUUUAGUUCGUUUUCAAUCCAAGGUCAAAACAAAGUUUUUUCUCUGUAAAUUUUAGAAGUUUGUCCUUUACUUUUUAUUGUCCUUUAAAGUAUAAAUUAUAGUGUGGUGACAAAUUAAAAGCUUUAAAGAAAAUGCUAUUAGUUGGUAAUCCUCUUUGUGAAGUUGAUUACUUGGUAAACUUUCAAUGAAAAUUUUGUUUCGUUGUACUUUCUCUCACGCUAUGUUGUCUUUUCUUAUUUGUAUUUUUUAGAGAAAUGUAGCAUGCUACCCGCUUCGUUUAUUUCAUUUAGAAAUAAACUUAGCUGGAAAUGUGGAUCAACUAGGAUUCAAACUUGGGUCUCGGGUACCUACCACCAAGCCCUUUUGCCACUUGCGCUAGGGAUCCUAUUUGUGAUUUCCAAAAAUGGAGGACAACUAUCUAAAAGCAAAGAGGAUAUCACGGCUAGUUUAAAAAAUCUAGGGGUAAUUGCUUGCUCGUCUAUUUUCCUUCUUAAUUGUUCUUGUGCAGAUAGAUGUAGUAUAUUCUAUUUGAAACUUAAAUACAGUAGGUCUUAAUCUAGUUAUAGCUUUCUAUAUUCCAUACAGAUUUAAAAAAUAGUAACAAGCCUAUCUAUUUUUACUGUGUUGAUCCAUAAUUUAUGUCUGUGAUUCUUGAAUCUCUGUUUGUGAUUAUAGUGAUCAAAUACAUGUGAUUGUUUUAUAAUAAAUGGAUAUAGGCUCUACUUUCAUUUGACAUGUUAACUAAUAACGAAUACUAAACUAAUGGCUGUAAAGAUCAGAAACAUCAAUUGACUAGUGCCUAUUUGCCUUGGCUGCUAGAAUCAUUUCUUUUAGAACCAGUAGCAAGAAGUCUGACAAAUGGUUAUUUUGUUGCUUCUGCUGCUAGGAAGUUGAGUUUAUCUUCUGAAAAACUCACAAGUUGAAUUUGAUCCUUAAACAACCACUUAUCAUCAAUAAUUGGGCAAAAAAUAAUAACUAUUGCAAAAAAAAGUAGAGACAAUUAUGAAAAAGAAGAAUAGCUGUAAUUUUUCUCUUCUUAUUGUCACAUUCUCAUCUAACUACCUUAUUUAGACAACUAUACGGAGGCAAAAAGAAAGGCAAAUUGCAUUGCAUUAGUUGAAUUAUACAUUAUUUGCUAUAAUGAUAUUAUUUUUUUCUCUAUAUGUUUAUAAAGAGUUGAUGACAAAAUUUUCUCUUCUUUCUCUAUAUGUUUAUAAGUGACGACAAAAUAUUUUGGUGACAUUUUGGCAAUAUAUAUUAAAGCAAGUUUAGAAACUUAGACAUAUUAUAACAAAUGUAUAUUUUUAUUCUAUAUGAGCUAAGAGAAGUAUUAUACUUUUAUCCCAACUUUCUAUUUUUUAAAUGUGAGUUGGAUGAUUGUAAUGUUACAGUGAUACUUAAACUUUUUUUCCUAGGACAAUCUUAGUUCCUUAUUUAUUUUAUAUGAUCAUAUUUAUUCUUCAAAACAUCUUUAAUUUGAUUCAAUUUUAUUUAUUAUAGACAUUUUACUAUUGGAGUCAUGGUGCUCAUAUUUAAUUUGAUCUUGAAAGCUGGAUGCUGCCAGCAUUUGAAAGAUGGUAUCUUUACAACACACAAUUAACAUCGACUAUAAUCACCAUCAAAAAAUAAAAGAAUUCUAGUAAAUUGUUCAUUGUCAAUAGUGGCGCUAAUAGUCGACGUCCUUUAUUUGAACUUCUAGCGGCGAUAUGGUGUUGCCAUCUUUUAUUCAAAAUUUAGUGGCGACGAUGUGUCAUCGUCUUUUAUUCAAACUUUUUGUGGUGACAAACUACCGCCGUAUUUGAUUCAAACUUUUAGUGGUGACAUAGCAUUGCCAUUAUGUGAAAACUUUUAGCGGCGACACUCCAUUGUCACUAAAUACUUUUCCCGGCAGGCUUUUAGGUGGCGACGUGCAGCGACAGUUUUGUUGCUUGCAUAACGUUUUCAUGGCGAUAUUUUGGCUUACGGCGGUGACAAUGGUCACCACUAUAUCCGUUUCUUGUAGUAGUGAAUUAUCAUGGGUUAUAUCUGAAAAUGAAAAGUUUUUUGUUUAUUUUUUAUUUAGUCAAUAGAAUGAAAUCAUAUUAUGUAUAUGUUUAUUUUUCUAUAGCAUAUAGAGGGAUUUCGAUCAUUUUUUUGACUUUUUGUUGUCAUUUAUGUUGAAAAGUACUUUUUUUUUAUUAAUUGUAGAAUAUUUAAAAUCCAUUAGGGUCCGCAAAUGGUAAAUUUUAUCAUGUGUACUAGGUAGUCUUUCACCACACCGUUACAUGCAUAAAUAAUAUUCUAUUUGUAUAGCCAUUUGCAAAGAAAACCAUAUUGUAUUAAUUUUAAAAUAAAAAUUUACAUAAUAACUCUUAACGUGUUCUGAUCGUGAUCGGGUGCAACAAUACUUUCCUUCAAACCAUGAUCAAGCAUAGCAUUGCUUUCAUUCCAACUGUGAUUUGGUAAAGUAAUGCUUUCUUUGGUGACUCGCUGAAAGCUUGUCCCGAUGCAAAUAUUUGGCCACACUUUUUACAAUUAUGUACCCCCAAAUCCGAUCUCUUCAAAGCCGUAUCGACCAUCGGCUUCUCGACAUGGCUCAGUUCAUCUUCAUUUACUUCAUUUGUAGUAAAUGCUUCAUCCGUGAUGUUCUUGCUUUUAUUGUGACUUGCCAUAUGACCGCCUAAUGCUUGAUGAGUAGAAAUAAUUUUAUUGCAGACACCACACUAAAAAGAUCUAGCUAAUUUCGUAGUCUUCUUUUUCCUUCUUUUUAUCAUACUAGACAAUGGUUGUAAGUGCUAUUCUUCAAUAUAUUCCUUGUCAUCAUCUUUGUCUAUUGAUCACUAGAAUGAUCCUCACCUUCAUAACCCUCUUCAUUCCUCGAACAUUUGUCUACGGUCUCUUCCUUACCCUUGAUAACUCUAAAAUCGUCUCCUAUGUUUUUCCUUUUCUUCUUAGGUGAUCUAUAAGUUUCUUUUUCACGAGAUGGACAAGUUAUCACAGCACUGCUUAGUAGUAUACUUAUGAUUACUCUUUGUAAUCUCUUUAUUUUAUAAAUUAAAUAAGAUGAAUGAGAUAGUGGCGGAAAAAUCACCUUACCGCCCUAUCCAAAAAAUAUCACACUAUAUUUUAUUAAACCUCUAUUCAUCCACCAAUAAAUAUUCAAGGAGAUGCCCCCCGUCCGCCUACUACCUUUGAAACACCCAAUCCCAACCCAACCAUUAAAUCACUCGUGACAAUCUUAUGUUGCUCUAGUAGGAAUGUGCUUUCUUCUUAGUGCCCGACAUUGUGGACACAAUAUGCGGGCAAAGAAGCCAAACCCUCAAUGCUACUGUUGAAACUCAGCAGCCUCAGUCUUAAAGUGUACCUGUUGUCUUGCACUGUAGCAUAGUGGCUAAAGGAUAUCUUGCUAAAUUUCUGUGAUGGAAUAUAUGCGGGCUAUCAGGAGCUCAAAACGUCGUGUUAUUAAAAGGACUCUUAUUUUGAAUGCAUAUAGUUGCAUUUGUCUUAAAGAAACCAAACUUCAAUAUGUUUCUACAAAAAAGCUGGAGAGCAUUUGUGGGUGAAAGCUAGACGGUUGUAUAUAAAUAAUAUCGUGGAUGUUCAAGCCGCCUGUUAAUUGCAUGGGACUCAAACAAAUAGUCCUAGGACUCCACAAUUACUAGUGAUCCUAGAAGUCUAGUAUUAAACAUCACAGGUAUCAGAGUCGGUAAAAUAAUCUAUACAAAUAUAACUACACUAUACAUAUAUAUCAUCCAUCAAACAUACACUUUUACAACCCAAAGUAAUAUAAUGUACAAAACUCUACUGAUAUGGCCAGUCCCAGAUGUAUAAUGUGUUGUAUACAACUCUAGCUUGGGUCCUCCACUAGCUCAGGUACACUGGAAGGAGACGCUAUCUAACUCGCUAUCCCUUUAUCUUGACAGAAGCAGGCGGUGAGAACUCAAAAACAAAAAAUCAACAAAGAAGAGUAUGAGAACUACGGAACAAUAGUUUCCAGUGAGUAAUAGCCACCAACCAUGACGAUCUACACUACUAGGCCUAAAAGAGACAAAAAUAGUAAAUAAUUGAGCAGUUAAAGAAACGUAAGUUGAACUGAAAAGAAAACUAACUAUCAUACCUCUAAAGUAAUACUAUCAACUACAAACUUAAACAAGUAAAUGGAGAACAGUAAAACUUUAAUAUGCAUCAAUUACUACAACCAAAUAACCAAUGUCAUAUCACCUAAUCUCAUCGACUAACUCAAUAGUCUGCUUAAGGUUGCGCCGCCUCGUGUGCCCCAACCUAUAGUGGUCCACUCUACGCAGGUUACUGUCUAUCUGACCCAUGCCAAUCGCUCAGCGCAACCUUUGGGGUGGCACUCGUGGUGCGCGACCCCAUCAAGUAUAGCGUAUAUCAUUAUCAAGCUCAAUGUGGCUUUGUAGUCUAUAGUUAUAUGCAAUAAUGAAAAAGACCACAAUAUAUAGUAUUGUCCAGGUGCCCUCUAGCAUAUUCUCGAUAUAUCACAUAGUGUAAAACUUUCCACUGAAUGGAAAUAUAGAAUAAUUUGUGAUAGCUCUAUAACACAUAUACAUCUAUCAAUCUCAAUAGAAAUAUAGAAUCAUUAUGGGUAGUAUAAUCAUCUCAGUUCAAUAGAAAAUAUACACAUAUAGAGCUAAAAUUUCUACUAUAUCAACAAGAUACUACAUAUCUCACAUGCUAAAUAAUACAAAAUAGAUAUAGGAGUCCACUAUUUUUGGCAACUAGAAACCCACCAGGAUGUGCUAUCGUAAAUUAGGAAAAGAAAGGAAAAGGGAUCACAGCACCAACUUUGGAUAAACUCUCGUGUACGUUUGUCACGCCCCGCGACCAACCGCCUAUUUGGACCGGGUCGCGGCGCCGACGACAGACCACCGAACGGACCGGGAAUUCCCCUGUACGCGGACAGAGUCUUCCCAGUACGUCCAAGGCGUCGCAAUCCAAACAAUCAACGAAUGUUCCAACAAGGAAUGGAUAUCAAUCCAGAUUGCAUAAGGAAGUAUCAAAUAUAUAAUCUACUUGCUAUUACAAGCAUUCAUUUCACAACCACGUUUACAUUACAGUUUCAGUUUACCUUUUUACUUCCCAAGUACAAUCUCACUAUUACAUCAGAGUUUACAAGUUUGAUACAUUUUCUUUUCGUCUUCUAGACCCUUAAGCUAGACUGUCUCAGGGUACUGCUACCUCGGUCUCUGUGGUGGGGCGCUAUCUACUGAGCUACGCCCUCGCCUCGCGCCGCCGCGCCGCACACGAACGACCUGAAAACCCCAAAACAACGUGGGGUGAGAACCAACUCCAUGGUUCCCAGUGGGUACGGCGACCCAAGGGAAAAGCUCGACCGAUAGGUCCGAGGAGGCACUGCAACAUGUUAGUUCAACAAUAUACAACAGAUAUAUAUAUUCAAUUGAAAUACAUGCCAUGCCUCACGAUAUGCGAUAUGAAAAUCAUGCAACAACUAGUAGAUCAUUUGAAUUCUACUUUUACUUGGCUACUUUAGCUCAUAACUUUACUCUAAGGUUUCUAUUACCUUAGGAUCACAACACCAACCACUAGCUUCUAAGGUUUCUAUUACCUUAGCUCAAGCCUCUAUCUCUGGCUCAUAAGGGUUCCUCUACCCUAUCAUAGCUAACCACCCGACUCGGCUUCGAGUCAAUCAUCUGCGGAUAGUCCGCGCACUGGCUGCUCAACAGCCUACCGCACUCUCUCUGACUCAGCCUCCUAGCGGCGAAAUCGUCGCACACGCUGAACACGGCUCGAGUCACAAGACUUGACCAUCGGUGGCGAUCGCGUUGCACUUACCCAGCGUGAGCUCGAGACAUGACAUACCGUCUGGCGGCGAACGGGUCGCACCACACCCAACAACGAUCAUGUCAGACUCAGUCACCUGGAGGCACCCGCAUCGUACUUACCCAGCAUGGAUUCAGUCUACUCUGGCGGUCUGAUCCUCAAAUGGCUUAACCACUCUGGCGGCGAAAUCGUCGCACAAACGCCAGCACAAUGGUUCAAGCCCCGGGCGGUGAUCUCCAUGUGAUCGCCCCCAAUCUACCCACGGUACCAAGCUCGGCGGCGAAAUCGUCGCACGAACGCCCUAGCCUGUACCAGGGACAUCAUAAGUCCUGGGAUUCCGGAAUCCACUUACCACAGGUCGAGGGUUCAUAGCCAACCCUAUACUGUCGACCUAGCUCAAUCUAGUGGCUAUACCACUAUACUCAUCAACCUAGGUUCCAACACUCUAGGUUCUAUGUCCACAUCACUUAACCUAGAUACACUUGCUAGGUUCUUAUCAUCUUUGCCUAGAUGUCCACUUCUAGGUUUACUAGUUCAACCUAGGUUUACUAACACUAGGUUAGAUGCCACACACCUAGAUUGUUCAACUCUAGGUUUACUAACCAACCUAUGUUCUUUAACACUAGGUUAGAUGCCACUCGAUCUACCUGACAACCUAGUUGUCCAAUCAUCUCUACUCAUCCUAGAGUUAUCAUCUGGUUUAUAUACAUAUACCAUGCAUCAUGCUUUCUACUUAGCAAUUACUCUUUGCAUCACUACUAACAUGCAUCCUUUACUUAGCAUCCUCAUCCAUGCAUUAUUAUUAAUAUGCAUUUACUUCAUAGCAUGCAUUACUUAGCAUUACAUUAUUAUCAUGCAUCACUAGCAUUAUGUAACUUGCUCACUAUGCAUUUCUACUAAGCAUUUUCAUCUAUGCAUUACCAUUAUCAUGCAUUACUCUACAUUAACUAGCAUUAUCUAAUGCCAUAGUCAUUAUGCUCCACUAUGCAUUGUUAUUAAUAUGCAUUUGCUCUAAGCAUUACCAUUUAUCAUGCUUUCUACUUAGCAUCUACUUUAUGCAUCUUUAUUAACAUGCAUCCUUGCUCUUGUCUACAUGCACAUGCAUCAACAUGAGAUUACAUUGCUAAGACAUAAAGGGCGACCUAGUCGCUUCGGUAAGCACAACCCACCUUAACGCGUUCCGAUUGCUCGUCGACACUUGCAAUCGGCCUCCCGCGGCACUCGGCACCCUUUGGGCCCGGCAAGCUCUUGCGCCUCAACCGUGUUCCGCUUUACAAAUCCAGAAAUUAUAGGUCUCCGGUUAUGCGCCACGAUGCCACACGUCCGUUCCCACGACCAUACGACGCCGUCUCGGACCUACAGGCAAGAAUGAAGCCUCAAGGCUUAUUCUUUUAAUAACUUUAAAACGGUUCGACGAAUGCUCAAUCCGUCUUCGCCCACGCGUUUCUUGACCUAACAAUUAGGUUUCCAAGCACUCAAAAUAGAUCAGAACCCCACAUUAGCAAAAUCCCCAUUUGGGAUGCCCUAAUGCAACAUAGGCUUAAUACCUCGGAUUUGAUCUAUAAAACAAGCAAAAGAAAGCUUGUUUAUCAUCUAGAAGCUCAUCUAGGAGCAUUCGAACUCAUUCUAGGGUGUUUAAAACAAACCCUAGAAAUUCACCAUUAGAGCUUCAUGAGAUAACCAUGGAUUUCAUAGUGUUCUAGCUCUCCACAAGGUUCUAAUUAAGUUAAAAGCUCCAAAUCUCUAAGUUUUAGGGUUUAUAAACCCAUCUAUCAAGACCCACCAUGAGAGGGAGCAAGGAGCUUACCUCUCAAAAGCUCCAAAAUGAGGAAGAAGAUGAAGAUGAGGAUGAAGAUGAAGAUCUUCUUCUUCUCCUCCUUGCUUUUCUCUUUUUCUUCUUCUCCUUCUUUCUCUCUUUUCCUUUCUUUCUCUCCUUUCUUCUUUUCUUCUCCCUUCGGUUGGGCACGAGCAGAGAGAGAGAGAGAGCUGUGGGAGUGAGAGAGAGUGAGAUAAAACACUCUCUAAUAGUGUAUUGUAACAAUAUCCACCUAGCCCCUCAAUAUUUCCAUUUUUCCAACUUAACCCACCGUUCUGGGUCCCUUGUACCGGUACACGGGCUCUUGUACCGGUACAAGGCCCGACAGACAUCUAAAACCGAGAGCUGGCUCGCUCAGUUUCGCGGGUUUUGUACCGGUACAAGGCCCCCUUGUACCGGUACAGCGCCGUAGCACUGUUCCGUGAUGGUUGUACCGGUACAGCCAUCAUGCUUGUACCGGUACAGCACCUGCAGCAUGCUGUUUUCACUUCUUUUCGGCUCUAUAUCGCGUCGUACAAUGUCAAGACCCUUCCAACUCCUUUGGAACUCACUUUUACUCUUCCAAUCAUGUUGGAACACCAACGGAAACUUGUCCAUCCAUCCUCUUCGCAUACUUUAGUCGUUUUAGCUAAAGUUCGAUAAUUCUUCCGAAACCUCGGGGGUUACAAGGUUCCAACUCUGUAUGGUCCGAAGAAACAGUCACGCAUGGACGUCCUUGAUCUCCUCUCAAGAUCAAUAUUUCUCAGAUUGUGAGAUGUGGAGAAAAUUGAGUAAAAGAGAGAAACAGCUUAGCAACCUAAUAAAUGGUCCUGAGCCAAAAUGCUAUGUUUCGGACACCCCAAAUCCAUUUUGGGUGUUUGAAAUUCUGGUUAGUCAGCUGCUGACUGACCUACUUCACAACGCUUGUCACAUCACACCGACCAACUUAUUUUCGAAAACCUAUAGUAGAUUUGGGCGCAGAACAUAGGCUCGAAUCAUUUGUAUGCAUCCUCAACACACAGGGCAUCCGAAACCAGCGUCUGAAAUAACAUCAUCCCAAAUCGCCACAUCCGAGCAUCCGAAUCCUCUUUCAGGUGUCUGAAACUGCACCAAGUGCAUAGUGAGUUGAUUUCACUUUAUUGAUUGUGCUUUCAUGUCAAUUUUGCACCAAAAUGACUCCUACCCAGUCAAACACUUCUCAAAGAUUAUGACUAACAUCUCAUAAUGCAAACUUACCUAUUGCACCCUCCCGUUCCACAAAGAGUUUCACCCUCAAAACUUGAAACUGAACAUAUCUCAACUAAGUCUCAAAUGAGUAGGGGUAGGUCUGUCUCAUCUCCUCCUUAAGCUCCCAGGUCGCCUCUCACUUCUCAUGGUUGUUCCACAAGAUCUCCACAUAGGGAAUGACCCGAUUUCUCAAUUCCUUCUGCUUUGAUGCCAGAAUUUGAAUCUAUUGCUCCUUAUAGUUCAAUCCUUGCUCUACUUUAAUGGAGCAAAAUCAAUCACAUGCGAGGGAUCAAAGACAACCCCUCCUCAAGGUUGAGACAUAGAACAUGUCAUGAACUCCUGCCAAUCAUGGUGGUAAGGCAAUCCUGUAGACAACUAGUCCAACUUGCUCCACUACCUCAAACGGCACAAUGAAACGUGGGCCGAGCUUUCCAUAUAUUUCAAACCUCUUUAUUCCUUUAGAUGGUGAGACUGUUGAGAAUACGUGAUCUCCAAUCUGGAACUCUAGAUCUCGUCGUCGCCGUGUAUCAGCAUAACUCUUUUGUCGACUUUGGGUAGUCACCAAAUAUCGUCGUACAAUUCUAACUUUUUCCUUAGUUUCCAAUAAAAUAUUAGGAUUCAAAGUUUUCGUUUCACAUACUUCAUCCUAAUAUAAAGGUGAUCGAUACUUUCUUCCAUAUAAUGCUUCAAACAAAGCUAUUCUGAUACUUGCGUGAUAACUAUUAUUAUAUGCAAACUUCGCCAUUGGCAAGUAUCGAUGCCAUCCACCACCAAACUCAAGGAUGCAACCUCGCAACGUAUCCUCUAAAAUCUAAUCGUCCUCUAUGUUUGUCCAUUGGUUUGUGGAUGGAAGGUCAUGCUGAACUAUAGGUGAGUCCCCAAGGCUGUUUAUAAACUUUUCUAAAAAUGAAAAACAAACCUCGGGUCUCUAUCUGAUAUUAUAGAGGUAGGAACUCCAUGCAAUCUCAUAAUCUAAUCCAAAUAUCUCUGAGCGAGUCUCUCUGAACCAUGUAAUUUGUUCUAGUAUAAAGUGAGUAGACUUCGUCAAUUUGUCCACAAUCAUUCAUACUGCAUCAUGCCCACUUUGCGAUCGCAGUAAGCCAAUCACAAAAUCCAUAAUAAGUAUGUCCCAUUUCCACAUUGGAAUAGAAAGUUUUUGAAGUUUGCCAGCUAGUACCAGAUGUUUAGCUUUAACUUGUUGACAGGUCAAGUAUUGUGCUAUAAAUCUCCCAAUAUGUCAUUUCAUUCCAAUCAACAGUAAUGUACCUUUAAAUCCUUUUACAUUUUAGUCCAUCCAGGAUGAAUAGUGUAAGUUGAGAUAUAAGCCUCUUUCAAGAUCUUCUUACCAAGCUUUAAUCCAUAGGUACACAUAACUGGUCCCGAAAUCUCAAUACGUCUGAGGCAUCAAUAUUGAACUUCCCUGCCUGUCCACUCUCUACCUCUACUCAUACUCUCAUCAAUUGUGGAACUAUACUCUAUUUCUCUUUGAUCUUUUCUAAUAGAGUAGGUUGCAAGACCAUAGAUAUAAGUCUUGCAGUAGUCCCAAGGGAUACCACCUCAAGUCCAAACCGCCUUAUCUCCUUUAGUAAUGGUGUCUAUCUCACAAUCAUCAUACUCAGGCUCUCCACCGAUUUGAGACUUAAUGCAUUUACUACCACAUUAGUCUUGUCAGGAUGAUACAAUAUAGUUACAUCAUAAUCCUUUAUGAUAUUGGAUAGUGACAAUUAUAAUAUUUGGCACCAUAAAAUUCAAUAUAUUCUCGCUGUGUAAGAGGUUCUAAAAAACUUGAGUAAUAAAAUGGAUCAACCCGCAGAGAGCAACAACGCUUAGGCUCGUCGAGAUAUGGAAGCCUAUAAUAAUUGGUUUAAAAAGGAUCGCAUUGCUUGUAUCACGUUGCUGAGUGGGAUGCAGAAUGAUCUCUUGUGCGAAUAUGAGCAGUACACAACUGCGCAUGACAUGUGGGAGGCUCUCAAAACUAAAUUUGAUGCGACUUUGGCCACAAUGUUGCACUGCCUAACCAUGCAAUUUGACAUUUUGUAAUAUAUGAGAUUUUGAAUAAAAGAAAUUCAAAUUUGAAUCUUGAUAUUUGAUAUAUAAUUUGAUAUAUAUAUAUAUAUAUAUAUAUAUAUAUAUAUAUGUGUGUGUGUGUGUGUGUGUGUGUGUGUGUGUGUGUGGAUAUAUAUAUAUAUGGAUUAUAUUUGGAUACGGAGAGGGUGGGCUUUGUCGCAAAUCGGCAGCCAAAUCAGGCGAAACAAAAUAGUAAUGUAGAUGUCUUGGUUGUGCUGAACGUGCUGGUGCAGUCCGUUCACAAAUCUAAUGGACGGAUCUCCUAAUAUCGCGCGAGGAUCGACGAGGAGACAUAACUAGCAAAGUAUAAAUUUGCAAAAAUUCCUAUAUUUUAUGUACCGUUUUGCGUAAAAUCGAACGUGGUGGUUUGUACACACGUUUUACUCGCACCGUGAGGUACUCAGCCGAAAAUACUAAUCAUUGGUAGGCUUAUUUGCAAGUUUACCACCUUGUAUAUAAUAGCUAACUAGGGUUUUAUUAUGGUGUUUUGUGGCAGCGGGUGACUCAUGGCAUGAGUCGGUGAGCCCUGGGACACUUCGUGGGUCCUAGCGGAGUUCCGGUGCGAUUUUCGGAACUUCCGGCGAGUUACGAGUGUGUAGGGUUGUGAGUUUAGUGUUUCUUAUUUGUGGGUUAAAGUGGUAUCAGAGCCAAGUUACAACCAUGGCUCCACUCACGCAUUGUUUUGAAAAAAUAAUAAACUGAAACAUUGAUUAGGUUGACCUAUAGGAAGACCAGCGGUAUAUAGGCAUGCGAGUGCGGGGUUUUGGCUUGAGUCCCAAUGUGCGUUGUCGAGUCGAAUUAUUCACUUGACGGUGUUUUCUAUUGCAGAUGGUUCGUGGUAGACCCCGUCGUUUGGGUCUUGGAAGUGGACGCGCUGUUGCGAAGGCAUCGGGCGGCCGGAGUGAGCGUACCCCUACGGGUGGAGGUGGUGGGGGACAGAUGGGCCCUGAGCCGUUGGGUGACACUCGUAUCCAUUAGCUCGAGGCCCAGGUAGCCGAGAUGAAGGGUCAGCUGACGACCCUCUCCGGGAUGUUCUAGCUGUUCUUAUAGCAGCAGACUGCAGCUGCUUUUCCCUCGGCCCCACCUCUAGCGCAAAGCACUCCGGUGACUGCGAACCCUCCGGUGAUGUCUGCAUCGGUUGCGGCUCCGACCGACACGACAACGACGACGGCCACCACGACGGUUUCUGCUGGGGGUGCUCGUACCCCUGAAGUAGAGGGCGCUCGUAUUAGGGCGAAGUUGGAGGAGUUCCGGAAGUUUGACCCCCCGAAAUUCGUAGGAAAGAACGAUGAGAGUUGGGCGGUCGAGCACUGGGUCGCCCACAUGGAGAAGCUGUUUCAUGACCUGCAUAUCGAGGAACAGGAUAAGGUCCCUCUGGCUACCCACUGCUUAGAGGGAGAGGCAUACUAGUGGUAGUUCCGCCACUUCUAGAAGAAGCUCGCGGAGACCUAUCUACCCUGGAAGGAGUUUCGAGGACUCCUCUACGACCAGUACUUCAAGAACAGCACCAAACAGAGUCUGGAACGAGAACUGGAGCACCUCAAACAGGGCAACCGCACUGUUGCGGAGUAUGACCAAGACUUCACUUGCAUCGUCGAGCGGAUUCGAUUCGCGGUCCGUGAUGAGUAUCACAAGGUCCGGCUGUUUGCGAGGGGGCUAAGGCCUAACAUUCGACUCCUGAUUGCGUCCCACGGUGUGAUAUCUUUUGUUGAGUGUCUGGAUCGGGCUCUGAUGGUGCAGAGCGAUAUGGAGGAGGUUCAAUUUGACCAGGACACAUCGGAGAGGAUUGGGGACAAGAAGCAUUCCCACGCUAAAUCGAGCGGUGUGUCAGGAACUUAGAAAAAUUUCUAUGCAGCCCGGUCCCUGGCCUAAAUCUGUUUAGCGAGUUUGGGUUGAAAACGGGUUGAAUCGGGUUGUCAAGGAGACUCAAACCCAACCCGCUGUGGGAAACUCAAGGGUUGUGAAACUUAUGGGAGUUAUGGGUGACUCUUGAGCUUUUGGCUAUUAUGAGGGCUCAUCAUGUAUCAAUAAUGGAUGAGUUAUGUGGCUAGUGGGUGAGUUGAAAAGGCUCAUUAGGCCUAUAAAUAGUGGGGUUGGCUAAGGCCAAGACACACAAGAGAGAGUGUGUUUGUAUGCUGUUUGUAGGUUGUAAUUCUCUUUUUCUAAGUAGUGUAGUAUUUAGUUUUUUUUUUAGAGAACCUCUGCCUCUUUCUCUUGUUUCUUUCCCUCUGCAUACUUAGUCGUAGGACGCGAAGGUCCGAGCUUGCAACAGGGAAGUAGGCUUGUCCAUCGUCGAGCAGGAAAGGUGGGCGUCGCACGGGCUUUGCAAAAAAAAAUGCUAAGGUCGUGAUAGGUGGCUCUUUUUCCAGUAAGAGGCCACCCAAUCAUCCACGUACUCAGUAGUCGGCGAGGAGUGCACCCUCUAGCAGCUAGCGACAGGGUGAUUGAUCCUGUGUGAUCUGUGGGUAGGCACAUCAGGUGACUGCUUGCUCGCAGCGGAGGGACCACUACUUCUGUUAUGGCUAGCCGGGCCACCUUUGAGUCAAAUGCCCCAAAGGUGGUUGGGCUACUCAGAGUGCUGCUUCCUCUCCAGCCGCACCGCAACAGUACCGUGGAGUCUCGAGUGCUAGUGCUUCAUCUGGGCGUCCCUCUACCUUACGCCAGAAUGAGGGGGCACGCUAGUCAUCUGGUGGGCUUGUCUACAACAUGUCCCGGCCCGAGGGUGACGCAGGUGGCGACGUUGUUACAGAUAUUGUCACCCUCUACACCACUCAUGCUAGGGCUCUCUUCGAUAAUGGAGCAUCUCAUUCAUUCAUUUCGCAUUCAUUUGCAUGUGAUCAUGGCUUUUCCUCGAGUCCACUUGCUACGACGAUCCGGAUUGAGAUGCCCGGGACCGAGCUGGAAGCGAAAUGGUGCAUUAUGUCGUGCCCCGUUGUUUUGGGCGAUCGGGCGUUUCUGGCAAAUAUGGUGCUACUCCAAAUAAAGGGUUUCGAUGUGGUGCUUGGGAGGAUUGGCUCACCAGGCACCACGCUUCUAUCCAUUGCGAGUGGAGGACGGUGACAUUUGCUGUACCCGAUGAAGAGGAGUUUGUCUAUCGAGCGUGUAAGAGCUCCUAUUUUGCCAUGACUAUCUCUUCAGGUAGUGCAAAAAGGCUUAUGAAUGGCGGAUGCGUGGCUUACCUAGCUUCGGUGGAUGUCAUCCGCUGCGCGGCACCAGCAUUGGAGGAGAUUCCAGUAGCCCGGGAGUUUCUGGAUGUUUUUCCAGCGAAGCUACCGGGGAUGCCUCCGGACCAGAAGAUCGAGUUCUUCAUCGAGUUUGUCCCCGGCAUGACACCGAUCUCGAAGGCCCCCUACCGAAUGGCCUUCGCUGAGCUGAAGGAGCUAAAAGCUCAGCUUGAGGAUCUUUUGGAUAAGGGAUUCAUCAGACCUAGCGUAUCUCCCUGGGUGCACCAGUCCUUUUGGUCAAAAAGAAGGACAGUAGUCUGCAACUAUGCAUUGACUACCGAGAGCUCAAUAAGGUCAAGGUGAAGAACAAGUAUCCUCUGUCCCGGAUUGAUGAUCUUUUUGAUCAGCUUCAAGGAUUGUCGGUGCCUUCUAAGAUUGAUUUGCAGUCCGGGUGUCAUCAGCUUAAGAUCCGGGUUGAGGAUGUGCCGAAGACAGCCUUCCGAACUCAUUACGGCCAUUACGAGUUCACGGUAAUGCCGUUCGGGCUUACUAAUGCCUUGGUAGCCUUCAUGGACAUGAUGAACAGAGUCUUUUGGUCAUACUUGGAUCAAUUUGUCGUGACCUUCAUUGAUGACAUAUUGAUAUACUCGCGGAGUGAUGACGAGCACGAAGAUCAUCUCCGACUAGUACUCCAGAUACUUCGAGAGCACAAAUAAUAUGCUAAACUCAAGAAGUGCGAGUUUUGGCUUCGCGAGGUGUCCUUUCUGGGACACAUUGUGACUUCGUCGGGCGUUACUGUGGACCCAAAGAAGAUAGCCUCGGUGGUCGAGUGGCCUACACUAACCACUGUGACCGAGGUCAGGAGUUUCCUUGGGUUGACAGGUUAUUACCGGCGAUCUGUCGAAGGCUUUGCCAAAAUCAUCGCGCCGCUGAAUAGCCUGACCAGGAAAGGAGAAAGAUUUUGGUGGACUACUCAGUGUCAGCAGAGCUUUGAUGAGCUGAAGGAUAGAUUGAUCCGCGCACCCAUUUUGACUAUGCCACGGCUUGGUGAGGACUUUGUGGUCUAUUGCGAUGCCUCACGAGUUGGUUUGGGGUGUGUGCUUAUGCAGCAGGAUCGGGUCAUUGCCUACGCUUCCCGCCAGCUGAAGUAUUACGAGAGGAAUUACCCGACUCACGAUCUUGAGCUCGCGGCAAUAGUGUUUGCCCUUAAGCUAUGGAGGCAUUAUGUCUAUGGGGCACACUGCGAGGUAUUCAUUAAUCACCUGAAACUGAAGUAUCUUUUCACCCAUAAGGAGUUGAACCUCAGGCAACGGCGUUUGCUCGAAUUCUUGAAGGACUAUGACCUCUCUAUCCAGUAUCAUCCGGAGAAGGCAAAUGUUGUAGCUGAUGCCUUGAGCCGGAAGCAGUCAUCAGCUGAGUUAUCUCUCAUGAUUACGACGAGGUAAGAUCGUUUUGUGGAGGAGUUCCACCAUCUCGAGAUAGAGGUUGUUCCCACUAGGGCCACGACCCAAUUAAUAACCCUAGUGGUGCAGCCUAUAUUGACUGAGCGGAUCAUGCUCGGACAGCAGAAUGACCCGCACUUGCAGAAGGUACGGGCGGAUAUCGAGCAGGGCAAGGACGGGGACUUCUCUAUUCACACUAACGGAUCUCUUCGUUUUAGAGGCAAGUGGUGCGUGCCUAGUAACUCGGAGCCGAGGAAAGAUAUCCUAUCCGAGACGCAUCGAUCCCCUUACACGGUUCAUCCCGGUAGAACCAAGAUGUAUCGUGACUUGACGCAGAAUUUUUGGUGGCCUGGGAUGAAGUUAGACAUGGCACAACACGUGGCCUAGUGCUUGGUUUGUCAACAGGUGAAGGCCGAGCACCAGCGACCAGUAGGAAAGCUGCAACCACUUUCGAUACCAGUGUAGAAGUGGGACCAGAUUACUAUAGAUUUCGUCAGCGGGUUGCCUCGAUCGCAGCGGGGCCACGAUACUAUCUAGGUAAUAGUGGAUCGGCUGACGAAAUCGGCUCACUUCCUACCGAUGCACACUACUUGGUCCUGUGAUCGACUGGCACAAUUGUAUAUCGAAGAGAUCGUUCGACUUCAUAGAGUGCCAGGGUCGAUUAUUUCGGAUCAGGACAUUCCCUGGGGUCUGGCAUCCCCUGGGGUCAAGGAUUUCAAAAAAAAAGUAAAUAAAUAAAAUUGGGCACUUUCGCGUUGAUUCUUAAACUUCAAAGGGACCUCGGGACAUGACACAGUCAUAAGAAGUGUGUCGAUCAGACUACGAAACAGCGUGUGAGAAUAAUAUCAAAUAUAAUUCGUGAGUUAAAGUCGGCUAGCGGCACCUUGACUGAUGAGCAGUAAAUCCAAACUAUGGUUCACUUACUUCCUAAUUCGUGGGAACAUAUGUAAGUAAAUUUGGCACAUAAUGAGAGUGUUAAAACUUUUUUGAAUGUAGCAUGACAUCUGAAGUUGGAGGAGAAGCGCCUUGAGGCUAUUAAAACUCCAACUAUCAAUGUUGCUGAGUCAAACUUUCACAGAAUAUAUGGGUUCAAGUGAAAAAGGACUAGUAGGCCUCAAAAUCAUAGCGGAUCAGUGCCUAAGAAUGCGAAGAAUAGCAAAAGAAAGAGAAGCAAACGAGGUGGCAAAAAAGACAAGUCGAAGAUGACCCGUUUCAAUUGUAACUAGCUGGAACACUUCGCUCGCGAUUGCACUGAACCGAAGAAGGUACCCUUUUAUUCUGAUUCUUGCUCUUUUGUUUCCUCUAGUAUGUUUGUUGCUGAAUCUUUUCUUGUGUGGAUUGUAGACUUGGAGCAACAGACGACGUUGCGAGGGAUCGGAUGGGAUUCGUCGAGUAUCAUCAUGUACCUGUUGGGAGCAAGAGAGUAUGCAUGGGGAAUGAUUCGAGUGUCGAUGUAUUAAGCGUUGGCACGUACAAGUUGAUCAUGCGAUGUGGUUGCACUUUGUACCUUCAUUAUGUACUUUAAGGAAUCCGGCGGAACUUAUUCUUGCUAAGUUUCAGUUAGGCUUUUCUUUUAGUUUUAAGAAUGACAAUAUUGAGAUUCAUCUUGAAACUAUUUAUUAUGGAAAAGAUUUUAUUUCAUAUGGUUUUCUGAUUUUGGACAUUAAUUAUAAUAAUAAUGAUAGUAGUUUCUUUUUCUUGCUAUCUUCUGUUGAGAAUGAUCAUAAUGUUUCUAUUAAAUGGCAUACUCGUCUUGGUCAUAUUUGACAGGAUAGAAUGACUAGAUUAGUUAGAGACGGGUCAUUGAGUUCGCUCAUUAAAGUCGACUUGCCCACUUGUGAACAUUGUUUAGCAGUAAAAGCAAUUCGAAAACCAUUUAAUAAAACUUUUAGGGCAGAAUUUUCUUUACAGUUGAUCCAUUCCUAUAUAUGUAGCCCAAUGAGUGUGAUGGCAAGACAUUGUGCUUUUUAUUUCGUCACAUUUAUAGAUAACCAUACGCGUUUCAGUCAUGUCUAUCUAAUCUCCCAUAGGUUUGAAGUAUUGGAUUGUUUUAGAUGUUACAUUAAUUAGGUUGAGGAUCAGUUAGAUAUGAAAAUUAAAUGCUUAAGAACUGAUCGAGGCCGCGAGUAUCUAUCUGAACAAUUUAAGAAAUUGUGUGAUGAAAAGGGAAUAAUCAGACAGUUGACAAUUCCUGGCACUCCGCAGCAAAAUGGCGUAGCGGAGAGAAGAAUCGCACUUUACUUGCCAUGGUUAGAUCAAUGAUGAUGCAAGCAAAUUUGCCUGUCUUUUUUUGGGGAGACGCAUUGUUAACUACUGCCUACAUUCUUAAUCGUGUAUCCUUUAAUAUAGUACUUUUUGUUCCUUAUAAAUUGUGGACAAGCAGAAAACCAAAUUUGGAGCACUUGCAUCCUUGGUGUUCCGUAGCUUAUGUACAUGAUACUUCUCAUAAGUAUAGAAAGUUGGGUCCUAGAGGAAAGAAAUGCAUCUUUAUAAGAUACCCCGAACACUUUAAGGGAUAUGUGUUCAUCGGAAAGCAGCCAGAUGAAAGUUUCAGUAAAAUUAAGUCACGAGAUAUUGAAUUUCUCGAGGAGGAUUUUUCUUAUAAAAGUGAAGUUCGAAAUAAAAUAGAGUUCCAUGAGAUGGAUGACUCUAGUAUUGGCACUUCUAUUCAUUCAGUUAAAGUAGAGGAGGCAACUCCAAUACCUCAUGGGAAUAGUGGGAGUGAGUACCUUUAGAACGGGGGCCUCAACUUUGUAGGAGCACACGUGUGGGUGUUUUCUGUCGUCGUUUUGAGAUUAAAGGGAAAGCUUUCAUGGUUGCUACAUAUGAUGAUGAUGAGCCUAGGUCUUUCCAUGAGGCUCACUCAUCACCUACUCGUAAGAAAUUGUUGGAUGCAAUGGUGGAGGAAAUAGAAUCGAUGCAAUCAAAUCAUGUCUGGGACUUGGUUGAUUUACCGCUAGGGUACAAAACUAUUGAGAUAAAUGGGUUCUCAAGGUUAAGCGCAAUGUAGACGAUUCAACUGAUAAGUAUAAGGCUCGCCUGAUAGAAAAGGGUUUUACCCAAUGAGAAGGCAUUGAUUACGAGGAAACCUUCUCUUCUGUUGUAAGGUUUACUUCGAUCUGCCUAAUUUUGGCCGUUGUCACGUAUUUGAAUUUGAAAUUUCAUCAAAUAGACGUUAAAACUGCAUUUCUCAAUGAAGAGCUAGAUGAGGAGAUCUAUAUAAAUCAGCCUGCUUGCUUUGCUGUAGAGGGUGAGAGGUAUAAAGUUUGCAAACUCCGACGGUCCAUCUAUGGAUUAAAGUAGUCAUCCAGACAAUGGUACAUUCAAUUUCAUUGAGCCAUCACUGAAGAUGGUUUACAAUGAUUGAAGAAGAUCAUUGUGUGUCUGUCAAACGACCCAAAAGAUAUUUUCUAAUCAUUUUCUUAUAUGUUGCGACAUUCUAGUGGCUAGGAAUGACAAGGAGAUAAUUGUCGCCACUCAAACGUGGUUGUCCUCCAAUCUUGAGAUGAAGGACAUGGAUGAAGCAAAUUAUGUGCUCGGAGUCAAGAUCUUACGAGAUCAUUCAAAGAAACUUUUAGGUUUGUCUCAAAAGACUCACUUAAGAAUAGUUUUAGAACGAUUUCAGAUGCACAAUUGCAAAUCCAUUGACACUUCUAUUGCUAAAGGUAAGAGUCUUAACCUUAAAUAGUGCCCUAAAUUUUCUGAUGAAAAAAAUAAGAUAAAUAGGAUUUCAUAUGCUAGUGCGGUCGAGAACUUGAUGUAUGCUAUGAUGUGUACUCGACUUGAUGUAUGCUAUGCUGUGGGCCUGGUUACCCGUUUUCAAUUCAAUCGGUGCUUGGACCACUGGAAGGUUGUUAAGAUUAGCACACAUACAUAUAUUUUUUAUAUUGUUAUAGAAUGAGUUGAUAGUAUGUUGUAGGCUGAUUGGCUAUCUCACACGGGUAAUCAUUCUUUUCGACGCUAUAGAGAGCAAGCGAAAAUUGAGUCAUUAAAGGAAGCGCGUUGGUUGGCACCAAGAUGAGGUCAUAAGCAUGACUGCAUACGAAUAGUCCCACGAUUCGUAUGGCUUGUACAUUAAGAGUCGGAUGUGAUCUCACCGUUUGGCGCUUGAGAUAGCGAGCAAAUGGAAGACUCAAGCUAGACACUCCGAGAGUAACCGAACUAAGAUUCGUAUGGCAUUGACAAAGGCAUACGCUUAUUGAGAUUCUCUAUUAUAGCAUGUAUUUCAUACUACAUGUGUUAAGUGACCAAAUGAAGAAGAUUAGUGAAUGGAUCCCUGCUUCCUCAUCAUGUGAGUUCCUAUGGACAUCAUUUUGAGGCGUUGUCUUAUAUAUGUUAGAUGCCCUUAGGGAAUUUUGACUAUGUCAUUAAGUGAAAGAACUGAUGUUGCUAUUUUGGCAUGUUCCCUACGGCUAUGAGUGACGCGGCUUUACGAAGCAUUGCUGGGAAAGCAAUAGUUCUCAACUUGGUGGCAUGAGGGCUUAAGAAAGACUAGUUGGAUUGCAUUGAGACACUUUGUCUUAUUGUCGACAGGUUGUGUUGCUUCAGCAUAGCGAGAUAAUUAUAAGUAUAGUGUCAUAAUGUGCACAAUAGAGGUUAGCAUGGCUCUUUGAGGGAUUAGAGAUGCUGAACCUAAUAUAAUCCAAUGCUAAGCCUAAUGUAAUCCAAUGGUCUAGGGCAUCAUAAGUCUAAUAUUCUCUUUUGAAGGUUGAUGUCUCUAUACUGGCCAUAUGCGGUUUCUAGUAUAGAGCUCCCAAAAUGCAAGUUGACUUGGCGGUCGCACUAUUCAUUUUCUUGUAUGAAUGAAAUUAAUAGUGGUGUAAUGUUGAGGAAAUGGUUACAAUGGCAUCAAUCCUGUUAUGUGCAAGUGGGAGAUGUUGGCAUUUGGUUAAACCAAAUUGAGUGCUCCCAUGAUCGGGCUCGAUCCGACGGUUAUUAUGUUGUCUAAUUGGAUUAGGAUUAAUCUCGCUUUUAAAUUAGAAGCUAAUUAAAGAUAUAUUCUAAUCAUAUUAGGAUAAUAAUUAUAAACGGAUUCGGCCUAAUCUCUCACUUAUAUAUCAGAAUUUUGGGAUCCCUUAUAUAUAUACGGGUUAUUCUUAUAAAAUACAAGAAAACUUAGAGAAUAAAAUACUCAUAAACUCGUGAGCAAUUUGUGAGCUAUCUUGUUAGAGAGAGAAAUCACAUCCUCCAUUAAACUAUUGCUCUAGAGGGUCUUGAACGGUGGAUUAGAGGUCCUGCUCAUUUGUAGUUCAAUCUACUGUGGGUUCAGAGCGUUAGAAGACUUUCAUAGAUGAUCCGAGAACACAUGAAUCAACCUCUACGAUCCGGGCUCAUCAUGUUCUAGUGUGAGUCACUUCCGCAAAAAAGUAUGAACGAAUACUUUUGCUGCGUUUUACUUAAAAAUUUGUACAGUUCAUUGAGACAUGUUUAGAAUAGAAUAUUAUAUUUGGUAUUCAAAUCUUUUUUCGCAAUAAGAUAAAUCAUCUUAUAAGUAAAAUACUAUUUUACUAAAUUAUGAAUAGCAAGAUUUUUGAAAAAGUAAAAAAAUAAAACUCCUCACUUAUAAUCAUACUAGAAAAUUUUCAUGUGUCUUUUGACAUCCAAUCAGUGUCCUACACUUAUUUGGAUGUCGAAAUAUGAUAGACAAUAAUAACUUAUUUGGUUUGAAAAUUUUUUCUACAUGAUUGGGCAUUAAGAAUUUGAUUUUUGGUCAUUGAAAGAUCUUGAUAUUUAUAAUUUGGCUAAAUUACAUAAAACACUCCUGUCAAAAUAUGAUUUUUCACUUCCCCCCAUCAUUUAUAAACCUACACUUUGCCCCCUUAUAAAAUAAAAAAUAUUCAUAGGGGAUACAGUGUGAAAUAUGAUGACAAAAUGACCAUUUUGCUCUUUACCCAUUUCGUCUUCUCCCUUAUCUUGCUUAUCCGCGGCCUCGAUCGGCCACAGUUCGCGCCUCGAUCAGCUGCGGUUCUUCUCCAUUUUCUUCUCUACCUGCUCCCCUUCUCCUUCUACACCCUCGUCGCCCCUCCAUUUUGGUGACAGUAGAGGGGAAAUCAAGGUGGGCAUAGAUGGAGAGGUGGAAAAGGGCAACGAGGGCGAAAGCGAGGCGGCGGAGGAGGGUGAGAGGGUGUUUGUGGGCGCAGACGGAGAUGUGGGCGAGGGCGAAGUAGUGAAGGAGGGCGAGGCGGCUAGUCGGCGAGGCGGAGGAGGGCGAAGCACAGUAGAGAGGGUGGAGGGUAUUUUUGGCAUAAAAUAAUAUUUUAUAAUGGAACCAUAACGGAUCACUAAUGGUAGGGGGUGAAGUGAACAUUUUUCAUUUUACAAUGGGGCAAAGUGUAGGUUUUAAAUGACAUGGGGGAAAAGUGAAAAAUUGGGUUUUGACUGGGAGGUUUUCUGUAAUUUAGCCUUAUAAUUUUACCAUAGCAUAUUUCGCUUAUAAAAUAAUUUAUUUUAUUAUGAAAAAAAUAAUAUGAAGGCUGAAUAUGAUAUUACGCUCUUCAUCUACCAAAUAUUACAUAUUUUUGAGUAAAUUAAAGGAAUAAAUUAACUAUCCUCCAAUUCAAAUCACGAGCCAACAGCUGAAGGAUAUUAUAAAAUCGCUUAAAUUUAUACAAAUUAUUGAAACUAUUUAAAAUUUAUUUUAUUUAGUGUGUUGCUACUAUAGAUGUUGGAUAUUGAAUGAAAUGAAAUAUUUUGACAUAUGUUAUGUUUUUUUUUUAUGAUAUCAAAAUAUUGUUAAGUUUUUUUUUUUUUUUUUUUCUUGUGAGAGAGAGAUGUAAGGAGAUGAGAGAGAUAUGCUGACUCUGGCUUCAUUUAUGUUCAUUUAUAAAUAAACUUUAUGUUGGAAACUGGAAUUCAACUAGGUAUUCGAACUUGACAUUCGGAUAUUCAACCUAAGCCUUUUCACCUAUGCACUAUUAAUGGUAUUGCCUUAUUAUAGAAAAAUUAUAUAUGAUAUUUAUUAUUAAAUCUAGUGUUGAUGGCAUAUGAUCUAAUAAUUUCUAAUUUUUAAACCGGCUAACAAUAAUUUAGUUUAAUAAAAUUUUUAAUUUAUAAUUUCACAUGAGAAACGGUUUAAACUCUCUAUAUUAAUAACAUUUUAUAAGACCGUUUUGAACAGCCUCUACAAAUAAGAAAAAUAAUUUUGUAGAGGCGGUUUGAACCGCUUCUAUAUUAUAAUAAGAUGAAUAAAAAAUUAUUAAAUAAAAUGAAAAAAAUUAGUUGAGCUGGUUUGAACCACAUUUAUAAGACCGCCUAUAGAGACAGCGCCUACGCCGGCGGUUUAGAGGUGGUUGUUAAAACUGCUUCUACGGUUUGCGAUUUAAAUUGCCCCUACGAUAAUUAAAAUCGUCUCUACGACCGUUUUGUUUUGUACUGAAUAUUCAUGCAUUCAAAUAGAUCAAUCUUAAUCAUGCAACUCUAUGUACAUGAAUGGCUUCACUAUAAGCCCAAAUCAUGUGGAAUGCAAACAAAAACUGACAACAAAGUUCGCUAAAAUCUAAUUGGAAGGUGUCUCGAUCGCUUCUUGUUGCUUAAUGUUCUUCUUGUGGCAGACAUCCCUCCAAAAACUCAUACAAUUGUACAUUAUCCAAAAAGUAGCGGCUCCAAAAUUCUUUUUUUUCGUUUUCAUUUUUGGAAACAUACACGUGGGAGUUAAAAAAAUCGACCUCGCGGAUGCUCUGGGUAACCUGAUGGUGGCUGGCAUAGAAAAUUGUAGAACCCCCGCGGUAGCUUUCGACAACUCAGCCUUACGAUUUGUGUGGUUCAACAUAAAAUCAUAAAGUAUAAUUUUUCGUAGAAAAAAGUUUUGGUGAAAUUUUUUUUUUUUUUUUAUAUUUUGUAGUAUUUGGUUUGAAGAAAAAAAAUAAUUUUCAAUCAACAUUUAUUUGGUUGAAAGAAAAAAUAAAAUUCACAUUUAUUUGGUUCAGUAGAAAAAAAAAAUGAAUGAAAAAAAUUUUACGCAGUUUGAGUUUUUAUUUUUCGUCGGAAAACUGCGACAAACUAAAACUUCAAUUUUUUUUUUUUUCCAAAUCCAUAAAACAUCGAGCCAAAUAAAAAAAAAAAAACAUUUUUCAUACUGAAAAUAAUUUGUCUAUUCGUUUUACGCCGAACCAAACACCCCUUAGCUCUUGAAACAAGCAAUUGAGCUAAAAUCAGUAUGGGCUCGACCAAUUUUAAUGUCCCUCAGUUGAUGGACUCACACAAACACACACUAAAUUUUAGACCUCAGCCCAAAUUGGACGUGAGCCUGGGCCAACCUGCAUUCUUACCUACCGAAAAUUUGAGAACAUUUGGCCUGCUUUUUUCUUCUGUUUUCAACUUUAGUUAUCUCUAAUGCAGUGUUUAGUGCACGAAAUUUCAGAGUUUUGUAUGUGGGGGAAAGUUAAAAUUAUAUUUUGAGACUGGCUUCUCCGGCAGAAAAGUUGUUAGGACGAUUUUGACAUGAUAAUUUUCUAAUAACGCAAGGCAAACAACAUUUCAUCCAACAGUAUUAUGCCUUAUCAUAUAUAUAUAUAUAUAUAUAUAUAUAUAUAGUAGCCUAGUUCUAUAUAUAUAUAUAUAUAUAUAUUUAGAGUUGAGCUAGAAUACUAUCGGUAGCAAAUGAGUUCUGUUGCCAUCCAUUUAUUUUCGAUGAUGGAGCCUCUAAAUCGACGAUCGGCACUGUUGAGCAUGAUCUAUACCAUUUGAAGUGUUUAGAAAUCAAAUUUCAUAUAUUUUCGAGAUUGUUCUCUUAUCCAUCGAUCGAGUGGACACAAAAAUGAACGGCUGAAAAUGAAUAUUCUUUAAAAAAUGAUAAUAAGAGUCUUGUAGUCAAAAUCAAGAGUAUAGAUCUUGUUUUAAAUAGUUUAAAGAAUUUUCUAACAAAAAUUCAAUUGAUUUGGAUAUCUUUACACCGUUAAACGAGAAAACGUCUUAUAUCGACCAUUAAAAUUAUACAUUUUAAAACUCUUUGAUCAUUAGGCAAAUGAUAUCGAAAAGAUUUGAAAUUUGAUUUCUAAAUACUUCAAAUGGUAUAGAUUAUGUUCAACGGUGCCGAUCAUCGAUUUAAAGGCUCAAUCAUUGAAAACAAAUGGGUGGCAAUGGAGCCCAUUUGCUACCGAUAGUAUUCUAUCUCAACUAUAUAUAUAUAUAUAUAUAUAUAUUAGUAUCAAACAGGUAGUUCAUAUUUACGAUAGUGAAUUUUAUAAAAAGUAAAAGUAUUUAUAGAAACUCUAUGGAGAAGUAAUGUUAAUCAGCCAAAGAAGUUCAACUGAGUAUAGAAGACAACCAUCAGGCCGUGCUGGAUUGUAGUUUGUUUUCUCGGCAUUGUUCAGUUAUUAUUAUUUUUUGGGGGUUUUUUUUUACAUUUAGCCGCCGCAUAAUUUUUUUUUACAAUUAGCUUCAUGAAAUUUAUAAUUACAAAAUUGGUCCUAUCCCCGCCACACAAGUGACACGUCAGCGGCUGGCAAGCAUAAGUUGAACACAGUGAACUAUUAAUUUAUCGUGUUUAAACUAAAAUGCACUGUAACGCUAGCUGUUUGAAUUCUUUUACAUUACGGGGUGGACUAUUGUUCAGCCGUCCAAAUGUCUAUGGCAGUUACUAUGUACUCUAGGCAAUUUGACUUGCGGUGGAAUCCUACUUCGAGGUGAAAGUAGGCUUCCAUAUGGCCUGUGGACAUCUUCGAAAAGUUUUUUAAAAAAUGUCAUACUUAUAGUAGUUUGAAAACUAUUGAUUCAAGUUAGCAACAAUAAUUAAAGUGAAGUUUUGGACUUAGCAUGCAUUUGGUGGCUGGGCCAUAAGCCCAUACAGUGUUAUAAUUUUGAAUGUCAUAACCGAGAUGUCCACUACUGUAAAUUUUUUUAUUUGAUUUCUUGCAGUUGAGAAGUGAAUUUGUAGAUCUUGUUAUUUUAUAUGACAGAGGGUUUUUUUGUUUCAUUUAAGAGAUUAAUGAGUAGGUGAGGUUUUCUCCUAAGUUAUAAUUAUUCUCUCUAAUUGUUGCAUUUAAUUUUUAGCUACGCGAUAUUUGGGCAUAGGUUAAAAUGUACAGUCGUUGCGCCUUCAUGAUCUGCAAAUCCAACAUACUGCUGCAUUUAGCAGUAACUACAUACGAUAUAUUAAACAAAAUAUUUUUGCCUUGCUUGCGGUUAACUCUACAUGGUACGUAGCUUCCACUAGGGCGAAUCAAAUAAAUACCUAUAUAUAUUGUGCAUGAUAAUGUAUCUUAUUGUGUAGGGUUUCUAGUAUACAUAUAUCAAAGUGUUACACCCAAAAAGAGUCGACACGUCACAUUUCAACCACAUGUGCAUUGCGUGAGUUGUUCUCGAAGCGGAUGCAAUAUAUAUCCUAAUAAGAGAACCAUGCAUGACUGCAUGCACAUGAAUAGACGAGACCAUCUAUAUAUAUAUAACACGCAAAAAUAAAUAUCACUACUCCUAAAACAAGCAAACCACGUGAGCAUGCAACAAAAUUUACGUAUAUUUUUCAACCAUUGCACAAGAUAUAAACAUGCACGCACGAUGUCUCCUAUCACAGAACCAUUUUCUCUUUCUUAGUUUCUUGAUUCGUUGAAUAAAUCACACAACCAAGACUAAAUAGGAAGAACAACGCACGUGCCCGUAUCUCUUAAUUUGUUAUCCGAUACUUUACAACUAAUUAAUUUAAACAAAACAGAUAAGAUAAACGUAAUAGAAGUAGACAUGCUGUGGACUUUGAGCAACUUUAGGUAGGAGUAGCGAGUCUUAAAUCAUAUUGUAGAAACACAUGCAGGAGAAAAAGGACAAAAAGAACCAUAUCUUGUUGUCUAACAUAAGUUUAGGAUGCAUGUAACACGACAGGAGAGGAGUCACGAAAGAUUAAAUGCACCAGUACCAGUCAAAAUUUUGAAUAUUUGAAUCUAGUCGUCUUAACUUUCAAAAUUUUAUAUAUUUCAUCUAAACAUUCAAAAUUUUAUGAUGGGCCACAUAGAUUUAUACUUUAGGAAUUUAUAUUCCACCUAAAUAAUUUAGGACACAGGCCGAUAAUAUAUAUAGAAGGAUCUUUUUGACAUCAAAAUUCAAUCAUACAAGAUAAAAAUUAAUUUCUAACACUUGAGUUUCACAAAUCAAAUGGAAUAAUUUCAAUUAAUUUGAUUCACCAAAAUAGUAUUUGGUAUAGGGUAAAUUGCACCGUUACCCCCUGAACUUUUGACGAAAUUUCACUUUACCCUUCGAACUCCUAAAAUGGACAUCUAACCCCUUAAACUCUAAUGUUACAUUCAUAUUACCCCUUCCGUCAGUUUUCCGUCAAGCUCCGUUAACCGGAAACUGACGGAAGGGGUAAAACGAAUGAAAUAUUAGCUAUUGUUUGGUUGGGGGUUAAGGGGUGGAAUAACCCUUAACCCCCAUUUUAUCCCCAAACACCUCAAAAAAUAGGUGGGGUUAGCUAACCCCACCUCAAAUAAAUUAUCUCGGGUUAGCUAACCCCACCUAACCCCACCAAACUCCAACCAAACACUAUUUUCUAUUCAUAAUAACCCACUAUCUUUCUUAUCACACCUACUCCAACCAAUCAUUAUCCUUCUUUAUCAAUCAUUAUCUUCUUAUCCCACCUACUCCAACCAAACACUAUUUUUCAUUAUUCUAGACUAAAUCCAACCCCCAACCAAACACAAAAAAACUUUAACCCCACUUUAACCUUGAACUUAACUCUAUCCCUGGAAUAGCUACUUUUUCCUUAACCCCGAACCAAACGGAGGCUUAGAGUUUAGGGUGUUAGAUAUCUGUUUUAGAAGUUUGGGGGGUUAAGUGAAACUCGCCAAAAUUAAAGUUCAGGAGGUAGUAGUGCAAUUUACUCCGUAAGGGACUCCUGACUAUAAAUUAUUUUAUUAUAAUAUGUUACUUAUGGAUUGAUUACUAAUCCUCAAGUUAGUGAUCAUGUUUGAUUUUGAAUUUAUAUAUAUUUUUAAUCCUAAAAUAAAUCACACCAUGAUUUAUCCUACAUUUUAUUGUAAUAAAAUAAAAAUGAAAUAAAUGAAUUAGAGUGGCUUAAAGAUAAAAAAAAGAGCGAUACUAACUACCUACGAUGCUCGAACACUCUACUAUCCUGAUGUACUCGCUAAUAUGGUUGAUUUACAAUAGGUGUCCUCACUCGGAUAUAGAGAUUUUAAUUCUCAGUUAAUUUUCUGUAGUAUUCGUUUGUCCAUUUUUAUCUUUAGAAGUAUUGUUCUAUAAAAUACACUUAAANAAGAGAGAGAGAGAGUUAUCCAAUGUGUUGAGUGCACCUAGUGCAUGGGUGCGCGUGGAUGAUUGUCUUCUUUGUGGAAUUAUAGAAGACGAGAGAAGGGUAGAAGAGAUUCAAGAAAGAGGGCUCAGGUUGUAGCUACUCUGUGCAGAAGAGGAGUCAGGUGUAAUCUUCUCUUAUUUAAUAAAUCUUAUUUUACCUGCAUAUUUUUCUCUUUUAUGAUUGUAUCAGCUUUUUGCUGAGGAGACGGGUUUAUGGUAAAAAUCCGAUUUGACGUUUCCGUUGCGGAAUCCCAACAAUCGUUACCGGAUCCACAGCAGUCGGUAUCGGAGCGAGUUGCGGAUUCACGAGAUCCGGUACCGGGCGAGUACCGGAUUCCCAACAGUGGAAAAUGAGGAAGGGGAUGAACAAGAACGAUGAUGGCAUCGGCGAUGAUGGCCUCAUGGUGAAUGUGAUGUGAGAGAUGAGAGAAAUGAAGGAAAUAGAAGAGAGGGGCAUUUUGGUAAGAAUUCUAAUAGUCUGUCCCGAAUUUGCAAAAAUAAAAAAAUGGCUAAAUUCUAUAAAAACAUAAAAACGGUGAAUUUUUUAUGCGAAAAAAAGAGUGCUCUGUCUAGACAUGCUUUGAUGCCCACCAAAAAUAAAAAGUGCUCUCUGAAAAUCAAAACAAAUGAAAAUAAAAGAAAAAAAAUCAAGCAGUAAAAACAAAAAGCCUUACAAUAAUGCUACUUCUGAGAAAAUAAUUUUGUUUGCAAAUAUUUGGGCACAUCUAGUGUGACGCCCUACUUCACAAAGGGCUACUCAUCCUAGAACUACUCUAGUUCUAGGCUUCUAGCAUACCUAACCCUCUUAACCUCUUUAGAUCUAACGACCGCCAAAAUGUUAUAACCGAGUUAAGAGGUUUAACCCUAUUAUAUCUUAUAUAUAGGACUAUUCUAACUUCUGGUCGUUUCACACAUUUUUAUCCCAUUUAAACUCUGACGUCCUCGUCAGGCUCAAGCACACUUACAAGUACCAAGCUUUGUGAAACUUAUCUUAAUAGCUUUAACCGACCUUGUUGGGAGCCGCAUUCCACCCACAACAAUCGUCAGCCAGGAAGCCUGCUCUACCUGCUUUACAGCUUAGUUGAGACUCAUCUCAUACUUCUGCUAAGUUAUUGGAUCUGAUACCAACUGCGAUGCCCCACUUUCUAGGGAGAUCACCUAUUUUGGAACUACUCUAACCUUAACACGCUUAAUCUUCUUAACAUUUUGGGCCUAACCACUACCUAAAAUGUUAUAGUCGACCUUAGAUGUUUGGCCCUAUUAUAUCUUAUAUAUAAGAAUAUUUCAAAUCCUAGGGUUGUCGCAUUCCUCUCCAUUUAAGUCCUGACAUCCUCGUCAUACUCAAUCACACUCAUAAGAACCAAGCCAUGUUAGAUUCCUCUCAGUAUCCUUAGCUGACUUUGUGGGGAGUCGCAUUUUACCUAUAACAGUCGUCAACUUGGGAGCCACGCUCUACAUGCUGUAUAACCACAACUCAAUUGAGACCUGCCUCACACUUCAGUUAGUUAUUGGCUCUGAUACCAAUAGUGACGUCCUGCUUCCAAGGGGGUCACCUAUCUUAGAACUGCUCUAAUCCUUGCACAUUUAAUCUUCUUAACCUCUUAAGCCUAGCCACUGCCUAAAAUGUUAUAGAUGGGUUUAGAUGUUUAGUCAUAUUAUGUUUAGUCAUAACUGAAUUAUUUUUUAUAUAAAAAUUAUAAUAAUACACCAACACAAUUAUAAAGUAAAAAAAAUAUAAAUACUUAACUAAUCAAUUUUCAUCAUAUUUUAGAUAUACAAACUAAAUGGAGGAAAUAAUAAAACUUAACUAAUCAAAUUUUACCAUAUUUUAAAUUUGCAAACUAAAUAAAAGAGUAAUUAGUACCGUAAUUAAAUAUAUUUAAAUAUAACUAGCAUUACUCAUUGUAUUAUUUUAUUAGUUUUUUCUUGACCUCUCUUCUCCGUAAUUGACUUCGGCCCGGGGUGGGCGGAAGUCAAUUGCAUUAUCUCGGAUAACUCGAAUUUUGACCAUUUUUUAUUACGGUGAAACAAACAGUGGAAGUGAUUAUUUUUAUGGCCGAAACGACUUCAGCUUUCCCUACUUUCACUCAAACAAACAGGCCCUUGGUGAUUGAAACAUUUAAACCUGAUUAUACAGCAUCUUAGGCGGUGGCUCAGCUCAAGAGAUUGAGAGGGUUAAGCGUGCUAGAACUACAGCAGUUCUAGAAUAGGUGAUCCUUGGGAUGUGGAGCGUCACACCUAGCUAAUUAGCAUGGCACGCUUGUGCGCAUACACACAUGAUUAAAAAUAAGGGAAGAUGUGCAUGGCGUAGUUGAGGUACUAUUUAAUAAAAUUUCGUUGAAAUGUACAGUUUGCUGAGCAACAUCUAUCCCACCAAGGAUACAACUUGGAUUGUAUUCAUAAUAUAUUAGGAUCCAAAAGAUUCUAUGUUUUGUUUGUUAGUAUGAGGAUGUUAUAACUUUAAAUUAA
rnacentral:lncRNA from 1 species